rnacentral:lncRNA from 1 species
GCUUAGCUAGCUAGCGAGGAGCGGUUCUUUGCCUAGGUGGUUUGCUCUUUCUUUUUGUAGUUGGGAGAGUAAGAGAUUUCUGUAUACAUGUAUAGAGACCACCUAUAUACCUACUUUUAGCACUUGCAAUUGGGAUUUCCUAUUGUAUUUACUUUAUGCCUUAUUUAGUGGAUUUACAGUUUAUCCUUAUCCUUGGUUGUAGCAUUUAGACAUUUAUUAUGCUCUGAUACUUCUAGAUGUCUUUUAUUAUUGCUUUCAUUAUUGUUGUUUUAGACGCCUUAUACGUUUUAGACGUAUGGCGGGUCUGGGCACGUGUCGGGCAGGCUUCCGCUGGGUCCCGGGGCGUGACAGUCGCAUUGCGCGCAGCAGCUCUGGCUGCGCUGGGAGAGCUCUCGGAGACUGGUCCCUAGUCGGGGAGACCGGUCCCCGAGCCCGAAAUCUGCCCAGUCCAGGCAGUUGAAUAAGAUGAAAGUUGAGGGGUUUAUUUGCAUUUUGGCAACCCAAUAGUUAUGUAUUGGGGCCUAAUGAGAUUUUCUCUCAUUUUUACCCUCUCAUCCCCUCUCAUCUCUCUUUCUCUCUCUAGAAGGCAAAGAAGGAGAAGAAGAAGAGAAGGAAAAGAAGGAAAAGAAGAGGAAGAAAAUAGAGAAGAAGAAUAGGAAGUGAAGAAACUCCCUCUCCCUCAUCUCUAGCUUGGAAAGAGAAAGCUUACAAGGUAAGCUUUGAACCCUAAUCAUGCUAAAACCCUAAACUGGGGGCUAUGUGACCUAGAAAUGGUUUUUAUAGAGCAUUUUGAGUUUUUGAAACUUUUCUUUUGCUUCUUUAGAGGUCAAAACCAUGAAAUGGGGGUAAUGGGUAAAGCUUGAAGGUGAGCUUGACCCCUCUCAUGGUAGAAUCCAAACUAUGGUUUGGAUUGAAUUAAAGAUGGUUUAGAUGGACUAUUUAGAGUAUAAUGAAGCUACUUUUGCUUCCCAAUGAGAUCAAACCCUAGGUUUGAUGUAUGCUAUGGAGCUAGAGCACCCAAAUUGGAGCUUUUGCUCAUGAGGGUUCCUAAGUGAAAUUGACCCUCUAAAAACCUAAUUGGGGGUAUUUCCGACUUGUUGAUGCGCUCGGAAUAGCAUUACGAAAAGUGUAUGUAAAGUUAUGGCCAAAUAAGCCUAAUUUGGCUUCGUUAUACCGCAGGUAGUGAACCGGGUAUCUAAAAAUCCCAAGAAAAUCGUCGGAGCACCUUUGGAAGCCUACGAGGUGGGUGGUGCUUCUCAAACUCCUUGAACUUCUCUCUAUGCCUAAUGUGUCAUUCAUUUGAGCAUAUGUAUAUACAUNUUCGAGACAGAUAUUGUACUACUUAUGACUCCUUUUAUUGUCUAGCUUUACUUCUUUACUUUGGUGUAGAUGUUAGAACUAUACUCGCUCUGAUAUCAUUAGUUGCUAGUUAUUUCACUUCUGCUAUUUGUCCUACUACUUGCUUUUACUUCCGCUUUUAGUAUAGACGCCUUAUAUGUGUAGACAUAUGGCGGGUCUGGGCACGCUACCAGGAGGGCCUCCGCCGGUCCCGGGGCGUGACACCGGGUAUGCUUCCACCGAUACCCGGGCGUGACAGAUUAUAGUGGUAUCAGAGCCUAGAGUUAAGUCUUAUUGGACCUAGCGAACCUUAGGCUGGUUGGACUAUAAGAAUAGGCUCGUGAGAGACGAGGUCUAGUUUAGUUUUUAGCGAAAGUACUUUGAUUGGGUAAUUUAUAAACUCCGAAUGGUAGGAGUUGAUUGAAAUAUGCAAUUUCUAACUUUGCGGAGAGCCACGUUGGCGGCCGACAAUGUGACAUCGGAAGUUAGUAUGUUUUACAUUUCAUUACUUUCGCUUGAUUGGGUGGUUAAUAUAAUGAGUAGGGGUUCAAUAGUGUAAGUUCUAUUAAUUUAUGUUUAUUUUUGCUGCAGCUUAAGAUGCCUACUACUCGUUCUAUGGCUACUGGAGCAGCCAAGGCAGCUGAUGCAGAGGAAGUGGAGACCUCCGUUACUUCCGGAUCUAGUGAGGUCCGUGAGUUGCAGGAUCAGCUUGCAGUAUUGACGGAUCUAGUGACACAGCAGGCUGCAGCAGCUCGACAACAGAUGGAUGCCGCGCGCCGACAGGAGGAAAGAAUGAAGAGGUUAGAGGAUUUGCUACUGCGACAGACAACUGAUAGAGAGGGCCCGAGUUCGGUGCCAACAGUACCUGAGAGGGACACGAUUGCGAGGGUACAGUCACCAGCACCAGAUACUUCACCGGCAGCCCCGCGCGCUGAGCACCAACCGGGGACCGUAGUACCACCCCUAGUGCCUGUGGCUGCGACAGGGACAGUGUUACCAGAGAUGGUAGGGGCUGAGGAGUAAGAGCAGAUGAUGGAGCGAUUGAAUGAAUUUCGCCGUUGCAAUCCUCGUGUAUUCGACGGCGAAAAAGGUGAUCAUUGGGUAGUUGAGAAGUGGCUAAUGCACAUGGAAAAGUUAUUUUACGAUACCUUUGUAGAGGAGCGAGACCGAGUCUGGUUUGCGACACACCAUAUGGAUGGCGAGGCCUAUAGGUGGUGGUUAGACAUUCGUGAGGAUCCCUGUACUGAUCUAUCUGCGAUCACUUGAAGAGAUUUAAGGAAUUAUUGUUGACAACCUACUUCCCGCAAAGUGUAAAGAGACAAAUGGAGAGGGAUCUGAGAAAUUUGAGGCAGGAGGAUAGGACAGUGGUUGAGUAUGAGCGAGAGUUUUCUCGACUACUAUAUUGUGUUCCUUUCGUGGUCAAGGAUGACGAGGAUAAGGCCCGUAUCUUUGAGGUGGGUUUGCGACCUGCGAUUUUCAGGUUGGUCCAGGCGUCAAACCUAUCGACUUACAAGGAGGUAGUAAAUCGGGCACUGAUUGUUGAGAAGGGGGCAGAGAUUGUGAAGGAAAGGAAAAUUGUGGAUCGAAAUAAAGGAAAGAGGCCAGGGGUGGAGAGUCGUGGUCAGCAAUCGUUCAGGGGACCGCCAAAGUAUCCGAGAGGCCAGCCAAGUCAGUCGAGGGGACGAGGUUCUUUUGCACCCCGUAGAGCACCUAAGCGUCAUCGACAGUCGCGUUGUGUGAUUUGUAGUGGUCCUCAUUUUCCACCGCAAUGCCCACAACAUGGGGGCAAGUGCUUUCUUUGUGGUCAGGAGGGCCACUUUCGGUCUGAGUGCCCGAGGGCUUCGUCACACGCACCAUCGUCAGCAUCAGCACCUGCAUCUUCAGCUCCGAGUCAGGGGACUCCGUCAGCACAGUACCAAUCGAGACGACCACCCGAACAGCGGCAGUCAGAGAGUUCUCGACAGGGUUCAAGUGGGCAUAUGUAUGCCGCCCAGACUGAGGAGGCCGCGGCAGCAGAAGAGGUUGUAGCAAGUGUUAUUUUGAUUCGUGAUGUUCAUGUUCGUGCAUUAUUCGAUACUGGCGCAUCGCAUUCUUUUAUCGAUCGGCUAUUUGCCGAGUUGCAUAGCAUUUAGUUAGUACCUACUUUGCAUCCGAGACGAGUAAUCAUGCCCGACCAUACCCUGGAUAUUCAUGAGUAUUGCCCUCGCUGCCCAGUUCGGGUAGGUGAUUGGAUUAUGCCAGUGAACUUAUUAGCACUACACAAACUAGGUGAGUUUGAUGUAGUUUUAGGUAUGGACUGGUUGACACAAUACUAUGCUAUUAUAGAUUGCACAAAUCGAACGUUGACCUUUAAGGAACCAUGUCAGCAGGAAGUGGUGUACAGGGGAUGCCAGAGUUCAUUGUUCGCAAUGACAAUUAGUUCUUCGCGAGCACGACAAUUGAUACGGAGGGGUUGCGUGGCCUAUUUGGCUAAUAUCUCUGUCAGUAACGGAGGAGUUACUAGUAUUGAUGAUAUCUCGGUAGUACGGGAAUUUCGUGAUGUGUUUCCAGCUGAAUUACCUGGAAUGCCGCCUAAUAGGGAAGUUGAGUUUGUGAUAGAUCUUGUUCCUGGGACUGCCCCAAUCUCAAAAGCACCCUAUAGGAUGGCACCUGUUGAGUUGAAAGAGCUGAAGGCACAGUUACAGGAUCUUUUGGAUAAAGGUUUUAUUCGACUGAGUGUAUCACCCUGGGGAGCACCGGUGUUAUUCGUUAAGAAGAAAGAUGGAUCCUUUCAAUUGUGCAUGGAUUAUCGGGAAAUUAACAAAGUCACAACCAAGAAUAAGUAUCUACUACCACGAAUUGACGAUUUAUUUGACCAGCUCCAAGGAUCGCAAGUGUACUCCAAGAUUGAUUUACAAUUUGGAUAUCAUCAGUUGAAGAUCAAGCCCAAAGAUGUAUCUAAGACUGCUUUCAGAACAUGGUAUGGUCAUUAUGAAUUCACAGUUAUGCCAUUUGGAUUGACUAAUGCCCCGGCAGCUUUUAUGAAUUUAAUGAAAUGUGUUUUAAGCCCUAUUUGGACAAGUUUGUGGUCGUAUUCAUCGACGAUAUCUUGAUCUAUUCCCAAAGUGACGAGGAGCAUGAAAACCAUUUAAGACUGGUGUUGCAAAUACUUCGAGAAAAGAAACUAUUUGCAAUGUUAACAAAAAAAAAAAGCAAAUUUUGGCUUCGAGAAGUAGCAUUUCUGGGACAUGUAAUUUCAGAAGUCGGGAUAGCUGUGGAUCCAAAGAAGAUUGAAGCAAUUAAGAAUUGGCCUAGGCCGACCAGCAUUACAGAGAUUCGGAGUUACCUUGGUUUGACAGGAUACUACCGAAAGUUUGUAGAAGGAUUUGCGAAGAUGUCAACUCGUCUCACUCGACUCACACAUAAAGGGGCGAAGUUUAUAUGGAAUGAGGUCUGUGAAAUUCGACCUCUUAGAAAUGUUAAUGUGAUAGAAUUACGUAGGAUUUGAAGUGGAGUGCUCCUAGCUAAUCAUGUAUUGAUUACUAGGGCUUUCGGAGAAUUGUGAAGAUCCAUACCCAUAGGUCGAACGUGAAUCGUCGGUUAAUAGGUGGGUUUGACCUCACCAGAGUAAGUGAAUUCCCCUAUGUUCUAUAUGUUACUAUAGGACUAUUAAUUAUAUGCAAUUGAAUUACUUUGGCGGUUUUAUUUGAAGGCAUUGACAAUCAACUCAACUUAAUAUUUAACAGUGAGUGAUUUUGUUAUGUUUUAAUAAAGUAGAGAACAAAUUAUUCGAUUGUGACCUGACCAGUGUUGUAUUAUUAAAAGACAAGUUUACCUUGCGAAUAACACAUGUAAAUUAGCAUCUUUAUUAUGUGGUUAUUGAUCUAGUGGAUACUAGCAUUUCUUAUUGUACAGAGAAUCCGACCUAUUGGCCGAGAGUAAAAAACUUACAUACUUGAUAUAUGAUGAUUGAAGCGGUUGGACUAUGAUUUAUGCUUGCUUGCCAUUGUGCUCAUUCGCACAAGCUUGUGAGGGUCGCGCCUUACAAGCCAACACUCCGGAGUUGGCCUACGCGACAGACUGCUUGCCCAUGCGGGAUUGGGUGCCGAAGUCGAUUGCCGUGGGGAGUGCAUACUACCACGGGGCCAUUAGGCGCGGCGCAAGCUGGACUACCUGGUGUAGGUCCUUAUGAAUUGAACCAAGUUACUAAAAGAUAGUAAUAAAUAAUUACUAUUAUACAGUGUACAGCUACCUUUAAUACGACAUGUUCAAGCUUUAAGUAAUUACUUUACUUGUUUCUACUUGUUUGACAUAGUUGAUAGCAUCAUACAUGUUCAUCGUUAUUUGUUGUUGAAUUAUCUCGCACACAAUAAAUGUUUUUACAUUUAUAAUAGUACAUCAUGAGCCUAGUGGUGUAACUCGCCAAGGCUGGCGGCUUACCCACUGGGAACUAUUGUUUAAUAGUUCUCACGCCCUUUUUAUUAUUGUUUUUACAGAGCCACCUACUACAGGAGAGGCUAGGGAUCGUGGCAAGGGAGUCGCGUCUAGCUAGAUAUAGCUUGGAGCUUGACUAGAUGAUCAUCUUGCUACUCGGGCUACGACCGAGGGUUAUGUACCCGUGUACAGAAAAACUACCAUUGUACAUAUAUUUUGAGUGACCUUGUGAUGUAUUUACGGUUUGUACCUGGGAUGACAGUUUUGGUGUUUCUCUGUGGAAUAGAAGAAUUCGGGACUGUACAGACUUGCACUUUCUUCUGAUAGUGGUAUUAUUGAUUUGUACUUUGCUCUGAUCAUCUUCACUUGUUUAAUAUGAUUUUAUAAACGUCUUAUAUACUACAGGUAUAUGACGGGUCUAUACAUGUACCAGGUAUGCUUCCGCUGAUACCCGGACGUGACAGUUCCGCUCAUUCCGACGGAACUCGGCACGAUUUACGCGGAAUGUGGUAUGUUACAUUCUCCACCCCCUAAAUUUAGUUUCGUCCGCGAAACUACUUAUCUACUAAUCGAGAUUCACCUCAACGCAGUUCCUCGAAGAGAUCAGGGUAACGCUCCUUCAUCACGUCCUCAAGCUCCCAAGUCUCUUCUCGGUCGCCGUGCUCGCACCAAUGAAUUUUAACAUACGGGAUUUCGCGGUUCCGUAGUUUCCUCACUUCUCGAUCGACGAUAUAAGCCAGGGACUCCUCAUAAGUCAUGUCCUCUUGAAGCUCCAUCGGUACAUAUGCGAGAACAUGCUCGGGGUCGUAAACAUACUUGCGGAGUUGAGAUACAUAGAAUACAUCGUGCACUCCCGCAAGCCUCGGUGGUAAUGCUAACUUAUAAGCCAUCGCGCCAAUCCGUUCUAGAAUCUCAAAGGAUCCGAUAUAGCGGGGACUUAGCUUCCCUCGAACACAGAAUCGCUUGACUCCUCGCAUAGGCGUCACCUUUAGAAAUACGCGGUCUCCAACAGUGAACUCGAUAUCUUUCCUUCGCUUGUUGGCAUAACUUUUGUGCCUCGAUUGCGCCGUUGCUAACCUUUGUCGGGCAAGGCGAACUUUCUCCUCCGCCUCACGCACAACAUCUGGGCCAAGAACAGUCCUCUCGCCCACAUUGCUCCAAUGAAUCAGCGAGCGACACUUUCUUCCAUAGAGGGCCUCGAAUGACGCCAUCGCAAUACUUUCUUGAUAGCUAUUGUUGUAUGCGAAUUCCGCCAUUGGUGAAUGAUCGUGCUAUUCGCCCUUAUAGUCAAGUACACACGCCCGAAGCAUAUCCUCAAGUAUUUGAAUAGUUCUCUCUGAUUGACAGUCACUUUGAGGAUGAAAUGCCGUGCUAAAGUCGAGCCGUGUGCCUAACACGUCUUGCAAGCUCCUUCAAAAAUGAGAUGUAAACCGCGGAUCCCGAUCCGACACAAUGGAUACCAGUACCCCGUGUAAUCUCACCACCUCGUCAAUAUAAACUUGAGCGAGCUUGUCUCCCGUCCAGGUAGUGUGGAUCGGCAAAAAGUGUACCGAUUUUGUCAACCGGUCCACAACUACCCAAAUCGCGUCAUGUCCACCUUGUGAUCUAGGCAAACCUGUCACAAAGUCCAUUGCGAUGUUUUUCCACUUCCACAAGAGUAUAGGUAGACUUUGCAACUUCCCCGCCGGAAAUCGACAUUCUGCCUUAACUAGUUGGCACGUGAGACAUUGCGCCACAAACUCUCCUAUAUCUUUCUUCAUGCCCGGCUAUCAAUAAUGUAGCUUCAAAUCUCGAUACAUUUUAGUGCCGCCCGGGUGAAUACUAUAAGGAGAUUGAUGAGCUUCUUGCAUAACCACCCUUCUAAGUUCGUCGUUCUUGGGCACACACCAACGGUUUCGAAAUAGUAGUGUGCCAUCGGUUCCAAUGCUAAACUCAUUAGUAUUACCAUUCUCAACUUUGCUCCACACUUUUUGGAGAAAUUCAUCAGACGCUUGCAAUUCUUUAAUCUUCUCCAAUAAGGUUGGUUGCACUAUCAAUGUGGCUAACGUUGCCGGCACACCCGGCGCCACAACCUCAAGACCAAACCGAUGCAUUUCUUUUUGCAAAGCCGAUUGAGGUGUAUCGGCCGUCGCCAAAUUUUUCGCCGACUUUCUACUUAAAGCAUCGGCUACGACAUUUGCCUUCCCGGGGUGGUCUAGGAUAGUGACGUCAUAGUCUUUAAGCAACUCCAACCAUCGCCGCUGUCGCAAAUUCAGUUCCUUCUGGGUGAACAGGUAUUUGAGACUCUUAUGAUCGGUGUAGAUCUCGCAAUGCUCACCAUACAAGUAAUGCCUCCACAAUUUUAGCGCGAAGACAACCGCCGCUAGCUCAAGAUCGUGGGUCGGGUAGUUCUUUUCAUAUGUCUUCAACUAGCGUGAAGCAUAUGCUAUAACUCGGCCCUUUUGCAUCAAGACACACACGAGACCAAUGUACGAAGCAUCACUAUAUACGACAUAACUCUCCCCCAGUGUCGGCAAGGCAAGCACCAGAGUAGAUGUCAACCUAUUCUUUAGCUCCUCAAAGCUUAGCUCACACUCGGGGCUCCAAACAUACUUCACCCCUUUGUGCGUAAGGCGUGUUAGUGGAGUUGUUAUCCUAGCAAACCCUUCCACGAACCGCCGGUAGUAGCCCGCAAGUCCAAGGAAGCUAUGAAUUUCCACCACACUUGUCGGGCGAGGCCAAUCUUUAAUCGCCUCAACUUUCUUUGGGUCCACCGAGAUGCCUUCACUGGAUAUAACGUGACCCAAGAAGGUAAUCUCCGAAAGCCAAAACUCACACUUCUUGAGUUUUGCAUACAGCUUUUCCUUCCGGAGUAUAUCCAACACAAGCCUUAAAUGCUCAUCGUGUUCUUCCUUCGUCCGAGAAUAUACCAAUACGUCGUCAAUGAAAACCACGACGUACCAGUCCAAUAGCGGACGGAAGACUCGAUUCAUCAAGUCCAUAAAGGCUGCCGGGGCAUUGGUAAGCCCAAACGACAUCACCAUGAACUCAUAGUGGCCAUAUCGCGUACGGUACGCUGUUUUGUGCACAUCCUUGGGCCGUAUCUUCAAUUGAUGAUACCCCGACUGAAGAUCAUUCUUAGAAUAUACCCUUGACCCUUGCAACUGAUCGAAUAGAUCGUCAAUCCUUGACAAUGGGUAUUUAUUCUUAAUCGUCACCUUGUUCAACUCACGAUAAUCAACGCAAAGUCAAAGAGUGCCGUCUUUCUUCUUCACAAAUAGCACCGGAGCUCCCCACGGAGACACACUCGGCCGCACGAAGCCUUUAUCGAGCAAGUCUUAUAACUGGGCUUUUAGCUCCUUUAACUCUACCGAUGCCAUUCUAUACGGAGCCUUCGAAACCGGCGCCGCCCCAGGAAUCAAGUCAAUGACAAAUUCGACUUCCCGGUCCGGUGGCAAUCCCGGUAACUCCACCGGAAAUACAUCCGGAUACUCGCAUACCACCCGAGUACUUUCCAACUCCGGGUGCUCCUUUUGAGGGUCCACGAUAGUCGCCAAGUAGGCCUUGCAACCACCCUUAAUCAUUUUCUUUGCCCUCACCAAUGAUAUGGUCGCCGCAAAAUGCGCACCAUUACACGCCUUAUAAACCAUCUCCUCUUGGUUAGGCUCACGGAAAGUGAUCACCUUCCUUUUGCAAUUGAUAACCGCGUAAUACUUGGAGAGCCAGUUGGUAACCAAGAUUACGUCAAACCCCACAGAUGCUUCAACACUAAUAGGUUGAUCGACAUGACCCAAUCGCCUAUCUGCACUGGGCAGUCCAAAUACUCGUCAUGCACAUGAAACGUAAGUCCAGGUGCUGUCACCGUCCAAUAAUCCUCAUAAUGCGUGACCUCUAUGUCAUGAGCUAGUGCAAAUGAUGCUGUUAUGAAUGAUUGAGNCUCCAACCCUAGCUUGAGGAGCUUAAUGAUUGAGCUAUUUGCUCUUCGUUUCGUUUGGGUGACCCUAUUUUUGAUGUUUCUAGGGUACCAGGGAGCUUGUGGAUACCUUCGUUCGGCGAAACGAAGAAGUUGAUUUUGGUGGGUUUGACUUCAUGAAAAUGGGGCAAAAUGGCUCCUAUGCCUUCUAACCCUUUUGUAAAGUAUUUUUGAAUGCAAAUUUAUGCUAAACAUGAUUUAUAUGAAUUUUAGAACACUUAACAUGCAUGCCUCAGGUAUCGUAAAAUUUGUACUCCAUAUAGUAGAGCUAUAUGUGUAGAUUGCAUGCAUUGUGGAUAGUGCUUGGUUUCGCAAGUUGAGAACAUGUCUCCAUGCUAGAAUUGAGUGAACUAUGCAUCAUGAACAUAUUAAUGCCAUGCUUGGGACUCGUUGAACAAAAGUGUCAUAAAGGGGCACUUAGGAUUAGUAAACUAUGAAACUGCAACAUAGAGACAUAUCGAUAGGCCACUAUUUAUCCGCUACAUUCCAUGUUAGAGACAUGAUGACAUAGGGAUAGGUCAUUGGGAUACUUGACACAUUCCAUGCUAUUAGACAUGAGGAUUUGAUACUUGCGAUAGAUCGUUUGACUACUUGCCAUUGUGCUUAUUCGCACAUGCUUGUGAGGGUCGCUCCCUACAAGCCGGCACUCCGGAGAUAGCCAUCGCGAUUCGUAUUCACCGUGCGGGAUUGGGCGCCGAAAUGGAUCGCCGUGGGACAGGCUCAUUUCUAGGGUGGGAAUGAUGACUACCACGGGGCCAUUAGGCUCGGCACUGGCCAGACAGCCUACGGGUGGGUCUCAGGGCCAUAGACAGCCUUCGGGUGGGUCUCUUCAGAUUUGACUUUGAGUAUUCAUUAUGACAUGUGGACAGAUGAUGACUUAGUGUACUACUUGGACAUUGGCUAGAAUAGUAAACAACGGAGCUUCACUAUUCGCAUUGUGAACAUUAUGAUAGUUAGAGACUUUUACUUCAUGCAUAGUUGCUUCAUACUUAUGCUAUUUAUGCUAAGUAGAGAUAUCAUGUUGUAGUAAGUUACAUUUUACUUACCUUUCGCUUUUCUACAUUUAUAGUUACUGACAUCUUUUGUAGCUUUGGGCCUUGUGGUGCAAUCACUGAAGUCAGUAAUUGCCCACUGGGAACUAUUUUUAAUAGUUCUCACGCCCCUGUUUUAUGGUUUNGCGUAAGGCGUGUUAGUGGAGUUGUUAUCCUAGCAAACCCUUCCACGAACCGCCGGUAGUAGCCCGCAAGUCCAAGGAAGCUAUGAAUUUCCACCACACUUGUCGGGCGAGGCCAAUCUUUAAUCGCCUCAACUUUCUUUGGGUCCACCGAGAUGCCUUCACUGGAUAUAACGUGACCCAAGAAGGUAAUCUCCGAAAGCCAAAACUCACACUUCUUGAGUUUUGCAUACAGCUUUUCCUUCCGGAGUAUAUCCAACACAAGCCUUAAAUGCUCAUCGUGUUCUUCCUUCGUCCGAGAAUAUACCAAUACGUCGUCAAUGAAAACCACGACGUACCAGUCCAAUAGCGGACGGAAGACUCGAUUCAUCAAGUCCAUAAAGGCUGCCGGGGCAUUGGUAAGCCCAAACGACAUCACCAUGAACUCAUAGUGGCCAUAUCGCGUACGGUACGCUGUUUUGUGCACAUCCUUGGGCCGUAUCUUCAAUUGAUGAUACCCCGACUGAAGAUCAUUCUUAGAAUAUACCCUUGACCCUUGCAACUGAUCGAAUAGAUCGUCAAUCCUUGACAAUGGGUAUUUAUUCUUAAUCGUCACCUUGUUCAACUCGCGAUAAUCAACGCAAAGUUGAAGAGUGUCGUCUUUCUUCUUCACAAAUAGCACCGGAGCUCCCCACGGAGACACACUCGGCCGCACGAAGCCUUUAUCGAGCAAGUCUUGCAACUGGGCUUUUAGCUCCUUUAACUCUACCGAUGCCAUUCUAUACGGAGCCUUCGAAACCGGCGCCGCCCCAGGAAUCAAGUCAAUGACAAAUUCGACUUCCCGGUCCGGUGGCAAUCCCGGUAACUCCACCGGAAAUACAUCCGGAUACUCGCAUACCACCCGAGUACUUUCCAAUUCCGGGUGCUCCUUUUGAGGGUCCACGAUAGUCGCCAAGUAGGCCUUGCAACCACCCUUAAUCAUUUUCUUUGCCCUCACCAAUGAUAUGGUCGCCGCAAAAUGCGCACCAUUACACGCCUUAUAAACCAUCUCCUCUUGGUUAGGCUCACGGAAAGUGAUCACCUUCCUUUUGCAAUUGAUAACCGCGUAAUACUUGGAGAGCCAGUUGGUAACCAAGAUUACGUCAAACCCCACAGAUGCUUCAACACUAAUAGGUUGAUCGACAUGACCCAAUCGCCUAUCUGCACUGGGCAGUCCAAAUACUCGUCAUGCACAUGAAACGUAAGUCCAGGUGCUGUCACCGUCCAAUAAUCCUCAUAAUGCGUGACCUCUAUGUCAUGAGCUAGUGCAAAUGAUGCUGUUAUGAAUGAUUGAGAUGCACCUGUGUCAAAUAUGGCUCUAGCCCUAGUGCCUCUGAUAAGGAUAAUACCUGCCACGACGUCGUCGAGAACGGUAAUCGGCGGCUCCUCCACCUGAGUGGCAAAUACCCGCCCACUAGGUGCUCGAGAGGCCUCCGGCUGACGAGGCACCGACGAUCGUCCAGCAGACGUAGCGGGUGGUAGUCCCGCCAGCUGUCGCUGAGUGUACUAAACUAAAGCUGAUGACGGAGCUGGAGAUGCGCCGCCCGGGCACUCUCGGCCUAUAUGUCCCGGUUGGCCGCAUCGGUAACACCGCCCCUCCCGCUGUAGGCAAGUAGUAACUCGGUGGUCUCCGCCACAUAUCACGCACGGGUAGGUAGUCUGGCUCUGAGACUGAUUCCUGCCUCCCCGCCACUACGAUCACUGUUGCCACAGGGGUCGCUUAGAACUCGACUGCCCCGGAGAUCCACUAGACGUCCGCUUCUUGGACUUGUCCUUUUUCCUAUCCUUCUCAAAUGCCUCGCGCUCGUCUCACGCAAUGGCAUUGCCGCACUCCACCCAAAAUGCGCGAUCAAGCACUUCCUCGUAGGUCUUUAACCGGAAGGCGUGAAUGACCUUGAAAAUCUCGGGUCGCUACCCGCGCUCGAAUGCCUCCGCCCGGUCCCUAUCGCCAUAAACCAAGCUCGACACGCAAUUGACGAGGUGCGUGAACUCCCGUUCAUACUCCCGCACCAUGCGACUUCCUUGCCUUAGCUUCCGAAAAUCCUCCUUGAUUUUUCUUUUGUCACUCUCGAAAAAAUACUCCAUAAGUAGCAUCUCCCGAAACGUCUCCCAAGUAAUAGAAGUGUGCUCCAACGAAUGAUUCUUCUUUGCCCGAGUCCACCACAACGGUGCAGACUCGUCGAAACAAUGAGCCACAAGGUGAACUUUAUCCUUCUCGAGGGUGUAGAUAUCCUCGAACAAGGCCUCCAUCGCGGCUAGCCAACUCUCCGUCACCCACAGGUCCUUCACAUCGCCGUUGAAGGUCAGAGGGUUGAAUCGCUUGAAUGCCGUCAACGCCGCCAACAUGCGCUCCUGCUCGGCCUCAAGUACAUCAGGAAUAGAAGCCGAUGAACCCGAUGCCGUCGGAGGAAUAGCCGUCACCGGUGCUGCCGCCACCGCAGGAGGUGGUGCUACAGGAGCAGCAGGUGCGGGCGGAUCCCUCGGCACAAAUACCGCCGCUGCCGCCUGUCGCGCCAUCAUCUCGUGGAGCUGUCCAAUCUGCUCCCCUUGUAGCUGCAUAGCCCCGGCCAAUGCCGCUACUUGGGCUCGGAGCUCGCGCACUUCAUCCGAUCCCGUCUGCUCGGGCACUUCAUCAAGCAGUGUCGAAGCGACUCUAUGUGUGUAGCGUCUGAAACGCAGCACACGCAUUAGUACUCAACACACGUGAUUCUUACACGUUCCAAAUAACUACCCAAUUAAGCGAAAGCAACCAAACAUAAUUAUUUCCAACUCUCGGUGUUAUGUGGUCGGCCUCCCCACAAAGUCCCUUAAGUAGACAACAAUUAAGCCUUCUAAUCUAUCUCUACUUCCUUCUAGAGAAGUGUUAUCGUUAACCCAAUCAUUCGCUUUCGCAUAAGCCAAAUCCACGUUAAACGUUUCCUAACCUCCUAAGGUCUCCAAUUCCUAGGGUUCCUAGGUCAUUCCUAUACGUUUGCUUUCAACUUUGCUCUGAUACCAUUAUAUCUGUCACGCCCCAAUCCCCGCCAAUUUGAUCAGGUUCGGGUCACGUCAAAAGACGCCAAAUGGACAGAGCCUCCCCUGUCCGCCCAAGGCUCAAAACAUGUAUAAUAAAGCAAUCAAACAAUGAGAUUAACAUUUAUACAAGGCUUGCACGAGGGCAAGCAACAACGAAAGCAAAAGCUCUAAGCUAAUAUAUUCAACCAUACAUAAUACUUGAUUACAUUUGAACCAAAUAAAAAUAAAUUGAACUAUCACAUUUCUUUCGCAAUCUUUCAUGAUUCUUUACAUUUAGCCAUUCACCAAAAUUACAUAUUUGAUAUCAACUUUACAACUUUCUAAAUCAACAAAAGAAGUUGAUACAUGUAAACCAAAAGGGGAAUGACUACAAAAUAUGAAAUAGUCCCGGUGGCCGCUAUCUACGGCGCUAGACCCUUGCCUCGGUCCUCCGCCGCCCCGCUCGUGCUAGGACCUGUAGGGUUAGUAGUGUGAAAACUACAACUAAGUUCCCAGUGAGUUCAACAACCGACCUCGCCGACUUACCCACUAGGUCUAUUUCAGGCAUAAGUAUUUCAACGGAAAGGAAAUAGUAGCUAAACUAAUGCUAAUACUAUGCCUGGAAGAAAGAGGUCAGUGGAUAUAGAUAUGAAAGCAAUAAAUAUGCAUGCUUGCUUGAUCGAUACUUUUCUUUGGCUUUUACCAAUCUUACCAGUUAACUUUGUUAACACCAAUGACUUACAACCCAAAAUCUCUUUUGAUCGAGGAGGCUUCGAGCACUUCCACUCGAGGGACCGUCCUUCGGGGCCACUAUCCCCGUGGUGACCUACUCCGAAGCGCACCGCUUGAAGGGGAGCUACCGCCCUCAAGCCAAGACUUAUCGUGAAUAUUAAUCCGAUUCCCAACUUGGGAACGUAUAGCCACUAGUCACAAUGCCACUAUCAUAAUCGAUUUUCUACCUAUUUAUUCAUGCCACUCAUGGUUAAACUAUGUUUAACAAUCACUAUCUCAAUGCCAAUCUUGUCUCUAUAGUCAAUGUCACCUUGUUUACAAAGAUCAAGGUCCAAGUCUCAUAUUCAUACAUCUCUAGGGUUCUAGCAUACAUGUCCAUUAUGGUUCUAUCAUUCUUUAUAUCCAACUACAUUAUAAGCACAUAAAUAAAAUUACACCAAAGUUCACAUGUAAGCAACCCUAAUAUGCAUGAACGACUAUAUACAAUAUGCUCAAAUAAAAAGUGACAUAGACAUAGAAGGGAAUCCAACGAUUCCGGAAUGCACCCCCCACCUCGCGUGGUUGUGUAGGUGUAGAAUGUGACGACUCCCGAACUUUAUGAAAGCCGAUUUCGCGCCCUAUAACCAAAAUAGUGUCAUAAUAGGCCUUUUGUACAUGAACUAUACUCAAACAUUUUCGUAACGUCCAACGGAGUUGUCCAACGCGUUUAUUUGACCCCCAAUUAGGUUUCUACGAGGUCAAUUCGCCCUCGAAAAAUUCUAGGGCAAAAGCCCCAAAUUUGAGCCCUAACAAUGCCUUCUAGGGUUUCCUCUUAGAUUGAUCUUGUUGCUAAGCAAAAGGUAGCUUAGAAUCAUUUAGGAAGCAUUCUAAUAAAGUUUCUAAGCUUUUAGAACUAGGGCAUCUACCAUGAGCCCUAGUGAUCCACCAUGAGAGCUCCCCAAGAAAACCAUGGAUUUCAUGGUUUCAAGGUCAAUAGAGGGUUUCUAGGUUAAUUAGAGGAUCAAAACUCUAAAUCCCAAGGUUUAAAAUCAAACCCUAGAGUUCUACAUGCUAGAAAACUCACCUUAACCCAAGUUCCACCAAGCUCCUCCUUGUUGGAGAGCUCCUAGACCCACUAAACCCACCAAAAAUCCACUUCCCAAGCUUCUCCUUCUUCUUCUCCAAGCUCUAGGGCUAAGUUUCUAGAGAGAGAAAGAGAGGAAAAUGAGAGAGAGAGGUGAAGAUGGUUGUGGGAGUGAAGGGCUAGGGCAUAUAUCAUGUUGUAACAUUUGCAACUAGGCCCUCCCAACUUCAAAAUUCUGUAUCUACCCUUACUGGGCAAUUUUCGCAGUCGGGGAUCGAUCUCCCCGACCAGGGACGGGUUCCCAAACGUUUAAUUUCCAAGACUUAGCCGAUUUUUGGGUUUUCUGGCUGGCUGCACAGCGAGGGACCGGUCUGUCCUUCAGGGACCGGUUCCUUAGGGACCAGUCUCACUGCCAGGGACUGGUUCCUCAAGGUUCCUGGCAAGCUACGCGUACGGGGACCGGUCUCUCCUUCAGGGACCGGUCCCUCACAAAAUCUGGGACUUAACCUUCCCUAUAUAACACAUAUAUAGGCUCUAAGGCACUUAGGGCCUAUACAUACUCAUCCCACUCUGCGUUCCGCUCAUUCCGACAGAACUCGACACGAUUUACGGAGAAUGUGGUAUGUUACAGAAUCCACCUAUCCCUAAGUUCACAAUCCACUAGUGUCACUUUACACUAAGUUAUAUGCCACUCGUUCUGUUCAUUUAUCAAUCAUGUGCCCCUCAUUAUGUCACGAGGUAACCAUCGAGUCCAUCUCUUUUCCUCAGCACUAUAGAAUUCAAUGUCAAGACCCAAUCCUCAUCUAUCCAUUAUACCAAGCAUUCAACUCACACUAUGAUGUCAAUUAGAAAGCAUAAGGAAUGGAAAACAAUGCAAUCAUACAAUACAACAUGCAAGAGAUGCAAAAUCAUAGUGUGCUAAGACAUAGAGAGGAAUCUGGUUGCUUCGGGAUGACACCACCCACCUUUCGACGAUGUAGGGGUUCUAAGAACGUGUUUCGGCACUUGUUACGACGUUGUCUCGGCCUCCGAGGCGGAAACGAAGCCCAACCGGUCUUGUUUUGCCGAUUUCUUUUCAACGACUCGACGAAAUGUCAAUCCAUCUUCGCCAACGCGUUUAGACACCUAGCAAUUAGGUUUAGAUGCUAUCAAUUGAGAUCAAACCUUAUUAUUAAGCAAAGCCCCAAUUUGGAGCCCUAGGUUUGCAUCUAUGCAAAAAUGCCCCAACAAAUCUCUAGCUUUAAGCAUUAAACAUCUAUUAAGCAUGCUAGAGUUCUAAUCAAACCAUUUCUAGAGCAAGAAAUCUAAGCCCUAAGAGUCUACCAUUGUUGAGCUCAAAAGCUUACCUCCAAGCUUGCUCCAAUGGUGAGGAGAGGAAGAAGAAGGUGACAAAAGCCCUUCUCUAGCUUGCUUCUCCUUCUUCCUCUUCUUCUUCUCCUUCAUUUCCUCCUUCUCCUUCUUCACUUCAAGAAAGAGGGAGAGAGUGUUUAGAGAGAGAGAGAGAGAGAGAGAGAGUGUUGGGUGUGAAAAUGAGAGAGGGAGAGAAUGAUCUCCCCUCUAUACCCCCAACUAAUGCAACAAUUGCAUAAUAGCCCCUCCACUUUGCUUCUCUCACACUGCCCAGACUGAGCAGUUUUCAUGCUCGGGGACCAGUCUAUCCCUAAAGGGACCGGUCCUCGAGAGCAACCCUUGCGGGUAGAGGCUCUCAGCCAGCUUCUACGCGUACGUGGACCAGUCCUCGCCUGAGGGACCAGACCUUCAAGGAUCGGUCCCCUCUCGAGGGACCGGACCCCAAGAGCAAACAUCGCGCGCAAAAUUUUUCUGCCGCACAUUCAGCUUACGGGGACCGGUCUCUCCCACCAGGGACCGGUCCCUGAGAGCAAAAUCUGCAAAGUUGUAGAUUUCCAUUAUUUUGCUCUCCGAGGCCCUCGCCAAUGCACUUUUUGGAUUUUUGACUCCUUCGGCCUUUUCAAAGCGUACCGACUCGACAAUUAGUCGAUUCUGAACUAAGUCCAACUCUCGGAUUUCGAGAAUUCACUUCCUUACACCAGGUGCCGCCGCCGCCACUUGCUGCGCUACCAACUCCUGCAGCCUUCCAAUUUGAUCCUCUUGGCGCUGCACCACACCGACUAGUGCAGCCACUUGCGCUCGCAGCUCCUGCACCUCAUCAAAUCCAGAAUGCUCGGGCACCUCAGAAAGUGGGGCCGGAGCGGAUCUCGUCAUGGGGCAUCUCGUCUGUAGUGUACCAAGUCCUUGGUGCGCUAAACCGAACUUGUCAAAUUGACCAAAGUGAGGUAAUGGACGCUUUAGAGAGGUCCGUUGAGUGUUCCGAGUGAUCAGAAUGACUUAUAAGGAUAUAAGGGACCAAAAGGGACCUUGGAGAGCAAGAUUGGAAAAAUUCAAAAAUUUUUGUAUUUGGAGUGCUCUCAGGGUCCCGACCCUGCAUAUAGGGUUCAGACCCCGUACACAAGAAAACGUGAAGUUGAGCAAAAACACCUAUUUGUGUGAGGAGCUAUGUGCAAUUGUGCUGGGGAGUGUAUAUAUGAGGGAACUUAGCUAUUUUCCCUCAUUUCCCCUAACACUCUCAACCAAAGAGAGUUUCUCUCUCUCUUUAAAUCUCUCUCUCUCUCUCCUAGGGUUUGCUUCAAUAGUGGAAAAAAUGGUGAGCUUGCUUAGUGGUGAAGCAACCUCAUGUGCAAGCUUGGCUUGGGAGAGAGCUUGGAUUAGAGGUAAGCAUCAUGAGGUUUGAGGGUUUUUGGUUAGGGUUUUGUGUAGAAACCUUAGAAAUGUGAUAAAUUGGAACCCUAGAUGAUUCUAAUCUAUGUUAUUGCAAGAAUCAUGAUGAGAUUUGGAUUAUAAGCAAUAUAUGGAUUUUUAGGGUUUCAAAUGAGGGUUUUUACUCAUGAUGAGUUUUGAUCUUAAUUAGUCCCUUAAUUCCGCAAUUGAAGGUAAAGCUGACGCAGUGGACUACUUAGAUUGAGGUUUCGUUGAGCCGAGGUUGGUCGAUUUGGAGAAAUUGCCGUUUUGGCUUCGUUUGCUGCAGUCGGGAGAAAUCGACGAUGAUAAAUUACGCAGCUUGGCUUUCCCGCUUCGUGGCAUCGACACGAGGUGGGGGGUGCUAUCCGAAAUAGCCAGAUUUCAUUCUAUGUCUAAGUUCUACAUUUUGAUCAUAUAACAUCAUGCAUUUAUGUGAGAAACCUAUGAGUCCUUGGUAAAUUCAUGCUUAGUGUGAGGGAUGAUGAUCCAUGUUGCAUGAUACUUGUAGGUGUAUAAUUUCCAUGAUAUUGAGGUAGAUGGAUAUAUGUGUAUGCAUGAGAUGCUAGUGGACAUAUACAUGUGAACAUGUAGUGAGAACAUGUUAGAUAUGUUGCAUGAGAACCAUAUAUGCUCUUAUUGUAUAAUGCCAAGAUAGUUGUAUAUAUGCAUGUUGCAUGAAUUGCUAGUGGACAUAUAUGUAUGUGGACAUAUUGUGAGAAUAUGCUAGAUUCAUGUGAAUUAGAGAUGUGUACAUGAUGUGAGAAUAUACUAGAUAUGUGUGUGAGAUGCUAGAGGGCAUAUGUAUGUGGACCUAUUAUGAUAAUUGGAAGACAUUGCAUAUGUAGCAUAUCCUCACUCGUGAGAAUUGUGAACUUGGCAUUAUGAGAAUUAGGAUGUAGGAUUCCCGAGGCUCUCGGACAAGAGGACUUGAGCAUAAUGCAUAUGUGGCCGAUUGUGAGCAUUGCAUGCCUUGUGAUGGAUAGGGAUGUGGGAUUCCCGCAGUCCUCGGGCAGGAGGACUAUGAUCAUACUCGCGUCGUCUGUUGUGUUAGCGGAUACUCGCUUAGACGUCUAUUGUGUUACUAGAGGUCGCAUCUCCCAUUCUUGUGAGCUCCGGAGUUGUAUCACGGUGAGAUAGAGACGAAGGGGGUAAGGCACCGAGGGUGUGCCCCCGGCAGACGGUCAUGGUUGCGUGACAUUUGCGUGGCGAGUUGUGGUUCGACCUUCGGGCGAAUCAAUUUGAUUAGAUUCAAGGCAUGGUUAUGGCAUUUCAUAUAGAUGCAUACAUAGUAGAACAUUGAUAGAUGACAUUGUUCAUGACAUAGUAGAACUUAUUCUUGUUGACAUGAUUGGUAAAGGUAUAUAUAGCUACACAUUUGAAGCAUGAUAUAGAUGUAUAUGAGCAGGUUAGGCUUAUUGUUUAUCUAUUAUCUCUUUGACAUAUUAUCCUAUCUAUUGUUUCUAUGCCAUCUUAGACCUAGUGGAAAAAUCGGCGGGGUCGGCGGCCGAACCCACUGGGAGCUUUGUUUAGUUCUCACACCCUGUUUUUACAGAGCCAAACGUGAGCGCAUUCGUCGAGGACGCGGCUUGGGCAUCGAGCCCUAGAUAGUGUGGACCACCAGCAUUAGCUCACUACCCUCAAAUAUAUAAAGGAAAAGAAAAAGAAAUGUAUAACGCUUUGGAAAGAAAUGUAUAACGCUUCGGCCGCCAACAUAACCUCCUCGAGUUGAGAACAAAUAUUACUUGAAUACGUCUCUAUCAACCAUUAGAGACAUACUAGCACUACACUUAAUUGGCUUAACCUCCGCCACAAAUCGUAGAUCCGCGUCACUCACGCACCUAUGUCCUUAGGGUCACCGUCCUAGGAUCUCCUAAGUCCAUCCUAAACUUCUCUCUUUUACAUGAUCUGAUACCACGCUCUGUCACGCCCCACGCCCCGGGACCGCCAAUUUGGUCAGUUCGGGCGCACGGGCGGACCGCCGAACGGACAAGAUUUCCCCUAUCCGCCUAAGACUCAACAAAAAUCAUGUAUAUCUAGUUUGCCCAGGUAAAACAUAAUCAACAUACAUGAAUUGCGCGAGGGUAACAUAAACAAGAGUAAGAGAGAAAUACUAGCUAUUACAUUCCACAUUUGAAUAUUUACAUUCAACCACCAAAAUACAUUUGGUUUACACAAUUUGUUCCAUAAUACAUGUACAUCAUCCAAAAGUAACCUCUCCCAAAAUACAUCAUGUCCCUCGAUAUAAUACAUGGUACUCUAAUGCAAAGGAGGCUAUUAUCUAGGACGCUAUGCCCUUACCGUGAUUCUCGACCACUCCGUUCGUGCUAGGCUCUGCAAUAAAGUAGGAUGAGAACAAACAAAAGUUUCCAGUGGGUUCGGCCGCCGACCGCGGUGAUUUUCCCACUAUGUCUAAGCAGGCAUAAGUAGAAAGGUUAGCACAUAAUAAAAAACUAGUAUGCUACUAUACCUCAACAAUAUGAUACAAUAAACAGGUACAAUAAACAGGUACGUACUAGCAACUAAUUUUCAUUAAAUUAUGCAAGGGCUUUUUUUUGCAUAAAUUAAAUUAAAAAUAUUAAUUUAUGCAAGGAUUUUUUUGCAAAUGGCCUCCUGAAAAAUAUUUAUUUUAAAAUUAGCCCUGUCAAAAUUUAAUUUGCAAAAAUGGCCCUGGCCCUGCCGCGCAGGCGCCACAUCAGCGCCACGCGGGCAGGGCUGGGGCCAAUGUGUUAAGUUUGAACACGGUGAACCAUUCACCGUGUUCAAACACGGUGAAUGAUUCACCGUGUUUCAUAUUUAUGUUUCUUUUCUUCUUUUUUAGGGAUGUCAACGGGUCGGGUUUGGAUCGGGUUUUAAAAAAUCUGAAUCCGAAUCCGAAAAUCAAAUUAAAAUCCAAACCCAAAUACGAACCCGGCGGUAGGGGUGGAACUGGGCCGGGUUUGGGUCGGGUAAUACUAUGCCCAAGCCCAGUCCAAAUGAAAAUGUUGGGCUUCGGGUCGGGCUUUUACCCAAUUUUUUUUUGAAAAUAAAGGCCCGGCCCAAGCCCAAGCCCAAUGCCCAAUACCCAUUGCGCUUUGUGGAGGCCCAUUUUAUGCAUUUGUCAUAGAAUACAUAAAUACUUUUAUUUGUAUAAAAUUAAAAUAAAAUACCUAGUUUUAGUUAGAUCACAUCAAAGAAAUUAAUAUCUAACAACAAAUAUAUCCUAAUAUAGAACUAAAUAUUUUGUUAAUAUAUAAUAUAUCCUCAUAUAUAUAAGUACAUAUCAUUAAUAACNAUUAAUAUCUAACAACAAAUAUAUCCUAAUAUAGAACUAAAUAUUUUGUUAAUAUAUAAUAUAUCCUCAUAUAUAUAAGUACAUAUCAUUAAUAACAAUAUAUACUAUAUAUGAUAUACUAUAUUAUUUAUUUCUUUUAAUAGAUAAAUAAUAUAUAUAUAAUUAAAUAUUUUAUUUUGAUAAUUAAUAUAUCAAGCUUUUGGGCCGGGCUCGGGCCGGGCUUGGACAUGCCCAAAUAGGCCCAAAAUUUUUUGGGGCUAAAAUUUUUAAGCCCGGCCCGAACCCAAAGUUAUAUUUUUAAUAACCAAAGCCCGGCCGAAACAUGGCCCAUCGGGCCGGGCCUUGUUUAGGCCCGGGCCCGGUUCCACCCCUACCCGGCGGGCUUUUAAAAAUCCAUACCCAUAUAAAACCCAUACCUAUAUAACUUUAAUAUAUGGAUAUGGGUAUGGAUUUUUAAAAACCCGCCGGGCUCGGAUUCGUGUUCGGGUUUUAAUUUGAUUUUUGGAUUCGAUUUCGGUUUUUAAAAACAUGAUCUAAACCCGAUCCGUUGACAUCCCAAAAGAGAAGAAAAGGAAUAUAAAUAUGAAACACGGUGAAUCAUUCACCGUGUUCGAACACGGUGAAUGGUUCACCGUGUUCAACUUAACAUACUGGCCCCAGCCCUGCCUGCGUGGCGCUGACGUGGCGCCUGCGUGGCAGGGCCAGGACCAUUUUUGCAAAUUAAAUUUUGACAGGACUAUUUUUAAAAUAAAAAUUUGUCAGAGGGCUAAAUUGGAAAAAAGCCCUUUUCCACUUGGAAAAUGCUAACUGGACAACAGGGUUGGGUUGUAGAUCCUACAACUCAAAGAUCCAACGGUUGAUAUUAAUCACUUUGCACAGUAGGUUAUAAACUCACCCUCUUUUUUUUUUCACCUACUACUACACCCACAGUUGUCGCCUUCUCUCUCUCUCGCUCUCUCGGUCUCUCCACCAUCUCUCUCUCUCGCUCUCUCUCUCUGUUUCUCGCUCUGUCCUGCACACCUCUCGCCACUCUCUUCCGCACAGGUCUCACCAUCUCUGAGUUUCUUCCUCUCGCUCUCAUCUCUCUCUCUCUCUCUCUCUCUCUCUCUCUCUCUCUCUCUCUUGCUCCUCGCUCGCUCACAGAUCACUCCAUCGAGCGCUGUUCGGCAGGAAAGGCGGUAGGUAGAAGCUCGUGUCCGAAGCUGUCUCGAAGGUGUCUCUCGCCCUCACCUCUCUUCAAUGGUAGGAGGUCGCGUCUCAACUGCUCCACUGUUCAUCCCAGUACCUGUGACGCAUUCCUUCAGUCGUGGGCGUCCAAAAUUGGGAACGAUUUCGGAGCUAAUUCGGCCACAACCGAACAGAGGAUUCAACUCAAAUAGGGGAUAUUUUUGAAUUUCUAUAAUUUUUUAUUUCUAAUUUUAAAUUUAAUAUAAAAUUUAUAUUUUGAGGGUUUAGGGUUGCAACUUGGGUUCGUCUGUGCAUGCUCCGGAUUUCGUCAUAAGGUUUACUCAGCUGGUAUAUUAUAUUAUUUGUUGCAUUUGUAAAAAUAAAGCAUUUAUGAUUUUAGUGUUUAGAAGAUGCGCCCACAGUAACAUACAUAUAUUUCAUGUAUUUCAUAAAUUUUGCUUAGUUUAUGAUAGAAAACAUGUUUAUGGUUACCAGUAUGUAGAAAGGUAUAGAAAAUAUGUUUGGGGUUACUAGUAUAUUCUCUUAUUCAUACUUCUAUACUUGUAUUAAUAAUUAAUUUGUUUGUAUUCGUAUAUGUAUAGUUGGCUAGGAAUAUGUAUGCAUUGCAAUCUGUCACUCUUAUGCCAUAAAGGGUUUACUCUUAGAGCUUAUAAGAACACUCUUAGUAGAACACUCUUAUAGAAUUUGUGUUUGCGAAUAUAUAUGCUUGACAAUCUAACACUCUUAUGCCAUAAAAGAACACUCUUACAGCUUAAUGUCUGCUACCAUGAAUGACGCACCUCGCACGGUCGAUGGAUUUUGGCCGUGGGGUAGUAUUCAUAAUUCAGAUGAGUAUUUAUAUGUAUGUGUAGGUAUCAGGUAUUGCGAGUCCAUGGCUUCCAAUAGAUGCAAGCAUCUACUGUUAAUUACCCCCUUGAGAUUGGGGCACCUUCGAUUAAGAGACCUUUAUAUCUUGGAUGAGAUGGAUCGUAUCUCGGUUUAUUGAAUCCUAAGUAUAUGUAUUAGGAUUCAGUUGGAUUUGAGGUUGAUUAGGCCCUAAGUAUAUGUGUUAAGACCUAAUCGAUAUUAAACUCUAUGUAUUAGAGUUUAAUUGGUUCAUGAGAUAUGGGUAUGAGAUCUGGGUAUUGGUUCAUGGGAUUUGGGUAUUGGUUUAUGAGAUUUGGGUAUUGGUUCAUGGGCUAUGGGUAUUGGUUUAUGAGAUUUGAAGAUGAUUUAGUUCAUGGCUCAUAGGAUUUGGCCUAUGGUUCAUGAGGUUGGGUAUAUGGUCCAUGGGAUUUGGUCCAUGAGAUUUCGUCUUCAUGGUUCACUCAUGAGAUUUGGCUCGCAUAGUUUCGUUGUUGUUCCAUACGGAUUUGGCCAUAGGUUUCGACUUAUCGGUUCAUAGUAUUCUGCGCCAUGCAUUUCGGCUUGGUUCAUGACGAUGCUCCACUGGAGAUUUGGUUUUUUGUUCCCCAUCGGGAUUUUGUCCUAUGACGGUUUGGUUAUUGGUUCAUGGAAUUGGUCCCAUGAGUUUGGUCUUGGUUCAUACGGAUUUUUGGCUCCAUCGAACCUGGUUUUGGCUCAUGAGAUUUUGUCCCAUGAGAUUUGUUUUGGUUUUUGUUCCCUGGGGAUUACUGGUCACAAUGAGGUUUGCGUUUGAGUUCCAUGUGGAUUUAGGUCCAUGACUUGUGUUUGGCUCAAUGGAUUUGCUCCCAUGGAGGAGUUGGGUUUGGUUCAUGGAAUUUGUCCAUAACUUGAGUUUGGCUCAUGGGCAUUUGUCCAUGAGUUUGGUUGUUGUUUCACAUAAGGGCAUUUUGGUCAUGAGAGUGUGUGUGAGAAUGGGAUUGCGGUCCAUGCAGGAAUUUGGUUUGGCUUCAUGGGAUUUGCUCCGAUCGAGGUUUGGUGAUUUGGCUCAUGGGAUCUUGCGUCCGAUCGAGAGUUUGGUUCUUGCGUUCAUGGGCGAUUGUGCUCAUGAACGCUUGGUUUGAACUCAUGGAUGUCUGUCCAUGACGAUUCUGGUUUGGUUCAUUCGGGAUAUUUGUCCUGAACUUGGUAUUUGGCAUCAUAGUGGAGAUUGAUCUCAUUCGAGUUUGGUCUGUGGUUCAUUGGGAUUUGGUACAUGCAACUUAUUUUUGGCUCAUGAGAUGUUGGUCCAUGAGGCUUUGGUUUUAUGGUUCAUGGGAUAUAUUGGUCCCAUGAAACUUGGUUUUGCUCAUGGAUUGGCAGUCCAUGCAGGAUUCUCGGUUUUGCUUCAUGGCGCAUGAUUGCUCCAAUAGAGGCGGCCGGCUUCUGGCUCAUGGGAUUUGGUCCAUCGAGGGUUUGCAUUUGGGUUCCAUAUAGGGUUGGCUCCAUGAACUUGGUUUUCCGGCCAUUCUUGAUUCUGGAAGGGUUUGGGCGUUCAUUUAUAGUGGCAACUUGGUUGGUUUCGGUUAUUUUUGGUUUUGGGUUGGAUGUUUAUUUGGCCAUGACACUUGGUGUUGGUUAGUUUGGGGGGCACGUUUGCUUCUUGUAAUGGUGACUUGUUUGGCUUUGGGCCUUUAUUUGGGUUUGGUUGGACUUUAUUUGGAACUUGGUUUGGUUUAGGUUUGGGCCAUUUGGCUUUGAGUGAUUGGUUUGAUUUGGGUUAUUCUGCUGUUUGGGUUAUGGUUUGGGUUUGCGGACAUAGAACUUGAUUUAUGGUGUAGGUGAACUGAUUUCGCAAUUUGGUUCCGAUAUUGAAAACUUAGAUUGCAAUUUGGGAUUCGCAUAUCACCUACGUUAAUUUCGCAUUAGUAAGCUUCUGCGUAGAUAAACUCAUGCAUUUCAAUUUGAUUUGCGGGUCGAAGAAAGUCCUUUUUGAUUUUGCACAUAGAUUUUGGGGAAUCCGAAGAAAGGUCCACUACUCUGAUUUUGCCAGAUUGCAAAUUUGGGUCGGUCCGAAAGAAAGAUCGCCCAUUGAUUUUGCAAUUGAACUUUGGCGUCCGAAGAAAUCGCCGCUUUGAUUGAAUAUGAAUUGGGGUCCGAAAAUCCCCAGGUUUCGAUUUUCCGAAUUCGAUUUUGGAUUUCGGAGUCCGAAGCAAAUCCCCCGUUGAUUUGCCAUUAGACUCUAGUGGGGUCCGCGAAGCAACGUCCCGUCUGAUUUGAAUUUGAAUUUGAUUCUUAAUAAUUGAUCUUGAUUUUGGGUCGACAGAAAAUCCCCGUUUGUUCAUGAAUUUGGGGUCCGAAGAAAUCCCCACUGUUGAUUCCCAAUAUCGGAGGUCCGAAGAAAUCCCCCGAUUUUAAUCUUUGAUUUUGGGGUCCGAAAGAAACAGGGGAAUCAUAAGAUUCCGCCCUUCCCACUUCUUCGCGAUCAAUUCAUUCCCAGCGAUUGUUAUAGUGUCGUCCGGAAGCUUGUGACUGGUGGACGGAUCUGUUCGGAAUCCGCAAUUUGAUUUUGACAUAUGUUGAAGAAUAUUGAAGGGCGUUCCGAAAGAAAAGCGGGCGAUCAAAGAUUCCCUCCCAUCUUCUUGUCCGAAAAGGUUAAAUAACGCCUGAAUUGUAGAUGUCGUCGCCGGAGUUGUUCAACGAGUGGCAGUGGAAUCUGUUCGGACCGGCCAAUUUGGUUUCGAUAUUUAUGAACGAAAUGUGAAGGGUCCGAAGAAACAGGGAAUCAAGAUCCCGCCUCCCCAACCGCUUGGACCUCCCUUUCUUCGCGAACGUCAUCAAACCGCGGUUCACGUUUGUCAGAUGAUGUCGACUCGAAGUUUGAUCGACGGUAGUGCGGAUACUUGUUGGGCCGUACGAUAUAAUGAUUGAGACAUUUUCAGAUCAGAAUCAUUGCAAGGGUCGCCACCAGAAACGGGGAAUCAAAAGAUGUUCCCCCUCCCGUCAAUCUCUUUUCUAUCAACUCGCCGUGCUCCGGUGUCGUCCGUAGCUGUGACGAUGGCGUGAUCUUUGUCCACCAUCAAAUUUGAUUUGAUAUUUUCGAAGAAAAUGUUGCAAGGUCCGACGAAACAGGGAAUCAAAAAUCCCUCCCCUAUUCUUCGAAGUAUCAAACCAUACGAUGUUAGGGUGGUCGCAGGCCAUGUUAGAGUCAUCAAUUCAUAUCAACCGGGCUAUCGACAUGGGUAAGUUGAGAGGUCCGAUGAAAUGGGGAAGUCGAAAGAUUCCAUCCACUCUCAACCACCCGAAGCCAUCUAGAUAUAUGGAUGGUAUACGAUCGCAGGCACAAAGAAAAAAGAAAAGGGGGGGGGAGAAAAGAGAUCUUUUUUUUUGACUUAUUUUCUUUCUUUUUUUCUUUCUUUUUUUUUAAUUAUGUUUUCUUUGUUUCUUCUUCAUUUUUCUUUCUCUUUCUUUUUUUUUUUUUUACCUGUUGAUCAAAUGAUGAAUUGGAUGAAGCAGCUCAACGAUUUCUCGUUCUUUCCGCGGCUCGGCGAUAUCUCCUCCUUUCAGCGGCUUGGCGAUAUCUCCUCCUUUCAGCAGCUCGGCGAUAUCUCCUCCUUUCAGCGACUCGGCGAUAUCUCCUCCUUUGAAUAUUUUGAACGUGGAAAUGUGUGUAGCAAUCUAUCUCUCUUUUUGUCUCUGUCCAAAAAAAAGUUCCCCGAAUUUGAUUUCGGUUCCCGUAUUUAUAAUGGGAGGGGAGGGGUUAGUUAAGAAUUCAAAAUUCGAAAUUCGAAUUUUGAAUUAUUUGUUGGAUGAUUGGAGGAUAUUUGGGGAGUGGUUGGGAAUUAAAUUUUGAAUGAGUUGUUGGAUAGUUGGGAGAUAUUGUGGGAGUUGGUUGAAGGUUCGAAAUUCGAAAUUCGAAUUUUGAACGGAUUCUCCAAAGUUGAGCAGGAUGCAAAAAAUUUUCUAAUUUCCCCACCUAUUACAAAGUUCGUCAAUCUGACUAUACAUGUAGUGAUUAGUUAACAUUAAAUAUCUUUGGCAAAAUAUUCUACCUUAACUUGACAGCAAUUCCUUUCUUUCGUAUUAUUAAUUAAAUUUUCUUUUUAUAGGGGACUCAUAUGGCAAGAUGAUACAAAAGGAUCAGAUUCGCCUUCUGUUAGCGGUCAAGUCCUCCUUGAUUACUUAUUUGGAGGCCCGACGCGCGACGAGGUUAGUGCUGCCACAGAUUAUGCAUUGUAGUUAGCGCUUGUAGCUUGUUUUAUACAUAUCUAAUUAUAUAUAUAUAUUAUUCUAAUUCUCUUUGUUUUGCUGACUUUCUUAUUUAGGUGAUUAAUGUAUAUUUCCAUAUAAUUGAUAAGCUCGAUUGUAUGGGUGUACAUAAAUUUAGUCAACUGGAUAUUUUCUUGCGAACUGAAGUUGCGGUGAGUUUGAUACUUUCACUAUUAAAUUAGUUGUUAUCUAUUUCUCUCUUGUUCUCUAUUUCUGUAAGCAAACUUAAAGAAAUAUAAAAGUGAGUUACAAUGGAAGAAAAAAUAUGUGUUGAAGUCCGAAUCCCAAUUUGUUGAAUAAUAUUGAUUAGCUCCUGUUCCAUAAUCUGUGAACAUAUGAAUUGUCCAAAUAAUAGCAUUUGAGUUUCCCACAAGGUUUCGUAAGGCAUCUUGCUAUCUUGAUUCCUAUAUCUAUGCAGAUGCACAUACUCAAUAAGAUGCAGGGAUUUGGAAAGGAUAAGACAGCAACAGCUGAUUUUUUGAGGGAUGUGGUAUUUGGAUCCACAUCUAUACGUCACUUUCUGGAUAAAAUAAAUACACAUACCUGCAGCACUUCUAGAUAUGUACUUAUUCCCUUACAUAGUAAUUGGCAUUGGCAUUGGCAUUUACUAUCAAUUGAUUUGAAGGAACGACGUUUUGAGAGUUGGAACUCUUUGUGGAGCCAUAGCGGGGCACAGGAUGCGGCACAGCUGCUGGUAUUAAUUUAUUCUUCUCAGUAGACAGAGUGUUUUAGUUAUUUAUUCACUCGGCAGUAACAUCUACUAUCCACUUGUUUUAAUUAAUUUACCUUUUUUUUCUCUUGGACAGGCGAAGUGGUUUGCGUCCUAUUUUGAGCACACCCUCCAAAUCCCCGUCGGCGCUCCUGACGUCAUAUUUCAUAAGGAAUGUCAACAACAGGGUUCCACGGAAGUCGAUUGUGGCAUGUACACAUGCCUUUUUGCCGANAUCCCCGUCGGCGCUCCUGACGUCAUAUUUCAUAAGGAAUGUCAACAACAGGGUUCCACGGAAGUCGAUUGUGGCAUGUACACAUGCCUUUUUGCCGAAAGAAUCGUAAGAAACGGCCCCCCGAUCUAUCAUUGUACGAUACUGACCGCCACUCCUUCCGUGCUCAUAUCGUCAGUGCCAUCUUAAAGGAUCCAUAUUGUGUGACCUAUGCUUCUAUGAUCGAGUCCACUGUCGCAAAAGAUGAUGUCUGAAUGUUAUAGGAUUUUGCAAUUGUGACUGGUGUUGUGCAGUUUGUUUAUAUAUUCUCUCAUAUGGCUUGCAUGGCAGUGCUCCUUAGCUUCUCUCUCUUUAGCUGGCUUGGUUCCCGACUAGCCCGUCUCUCUCCCAAGAGCAAGAAUACUGCUUGACUAUCUUAUGCAAUUGUGACUGAUACAGGACAUUUGUUUAUAUAUGAUUGUGAAUGUGCAAUUGUGCACAUUGUGAGUGGUACUGGGCAGAUUUUUUAUAUACGAUUGUGAAUGUGCAAUUGUGAAUUUGUGGCUGGUAUUGGGCAGUUUGUUUAUAUAUGAUUAUGAAUUUAUUUAUAUAUGACUGUGAAUUUGUUUAUAUAUGUGACUGUGCAAGUAUGCACAUUGUGACUGGUUCUGGGCAAUUUGUUUAUAUAUGAUUAUGAAUGUGCAAUUGUGCACAUUGUGAGUGGUACUGGGCAGAUUGUGUAUAUAUGAUUAUGAACUUAUUUAUAUAUGACUGUGAAUUUAUUUAUAUAUAUGACUGGUACUAGGCAGUUUGUUUAUAUAUGACUCUGAAUUUGUUUAUAUAUGAUUGUGAAUUUGCGACUGGUACCGGACAGUUUAUUUAUAUAUGAUUGUGAAUGUUUUAUGUUUUAUGUUUAUAUAUAAUUGUGAAUGUUUUAUGUUGUACAUGGCAGUUUUUUAUAGAAACACUGUCACGCCCCGGGGCUCAGCGGAAGCCUACCCGGCGCGUGUCUAGACCCGCCAUACGUCUAAAACAUAUAAGGCGUCUACAAAAUUUCGAUAGAUAAAACACUAAUACAAAGAGAUCUAGUGAUAUCAGAGCAUUGUACAACUAGUCCUAUAACGAGAAAAAGGACAUAAAGCUGAAAGUCCACUAAUAAAAGCAUAAAGUAAUACAAAGGAAAUCUCAAAUACAAGUGCUAAAAGUAGAUAUAUAGGUGGUCUCUAUACAUGGAUACAAAACCUCUCACUCUCUCAACUAUAAAAAGAAAGAGCGAACCACCUAGGUAAAGAACCGCUCCUCGCUAGCUAGCCAUGCGAUCCCCUUGCCGCGAUCCCGUGCCUCCGCCGGUGCAGAAGGCUCUGAAAAGUAAACCAUAAAACAGGGGCGUGAGAACUAUUAAAAAUAGUUCCCAGUGGGCAAUUACUGACUUCAGUGAAUGCACCACAAGGCCCAAGCUACAAGGAAAGGGUCAGUGUCUAAGAACGUAUGAAAGCGAAAGGUAAGUAGAAUGCAACUUACUACAACAUGAUAUUUCUACUUAGCAUGAAAGGCAUAAGUAUGAAAGCAACUAUGUAUGUAGUAAAAGUUUCCAACUAACAUGAUGUCCAUAAUGCAAAAUAGUAAAGUGCCAAUGUUUACUAUUCUAGUCAAAUUCCAGUCAGUACACUAAGUCAUCAUCUGUCCAUAUGUCAUAGUAAAUGCUCAAAGUCAAAUCUGAAGAGACCCACCCGAAGGCUGUCUAAGGCCCUGAGACCCACCCGUAGGCUGUCUGGCCGGUGCCGAGCCUAAUGGCCCCGUGGUAGUCAUCAUUCCCACCCUAGGAAUGAGCCUGACCACGGCAAUCCACUUUGGCGCCCAAUCCCGCACGGCGAAUAUGAAUCGCGAUGGCUAUCUCCGGAGUGCCGGCUUGUAGGGAGCGACCCUCACAAGCAUGUGCGAAUGAGCACAAUGGCAAGUAGUGAAACGAUCUGUCACAAGUACCAAGUCCUCAUGUCUAAUAACAUGGAAUAUAUCAAGUAUCUCAAUGGCCUAUCUCUAUGUCAUCAUGUCUCUAACAUGGAAUAUAGCAGAUAUGUAGUGGCCUAUCAAUAUGUGUAGCACACUGGACCUUUGCAAAUUGCGAGGUUCGAGUGUUCGAUUGGUAUUCCGAACUUUUCCACACUUGGUGGAGGGCCGUCGAUGGUAUACCGGCCUAAAAGUUCGAUCUCGAGAGUUUUGGCAGAGUCCUGAGAGUUUUUACUCUCGGGGACCGGUCCCUGAUAGGAGAGACCGGUCCCCCAGUGAACAGUGCCGCGCAGCAGGCGAGGCAACCGGUCCUUGGCAGUUGAGACCGGUCCCCGAGCCCGUCUGCGCGGGGAGAGACCGGUCCCGCGCAGGGAGAGACCGGUUCCCGAAUGCUGGUUUUUCGGGUUCGCAGCGAGAGACCGGUCCCUGCUGAGGAGAGACCGGUCCUCUGGGCGAAAACUGCCCAGUCGGGCUGAUGUAAUUGACGUUUUGAGGGGCCCUAUGUGAUUUUUUACUUUACGAGCUAUAGGCAGCCUUUCCUCACCCUCCCCUCCACGUCUCCAUUUUCUCCUCCCUCACACUCCUUCCUACACUUCUAGAGAGAGAAAGGGAGCGAGAAGAAGGAGAAUGAAGAGGAGAAGGAUCUUGCAGUUGAGGCUUGGGCAUCAUCUUCUUCCCCCUCAUUACUCUCGCCCCUUUGGAGGUUUGGAGCUUGCGUUUGGAGCCUUGCUGGAGGAUCUAACUCGCAACCCUACCUUGGUUUUGAGCUUGGAUUGGGGGCUUCUCUUGAGGUUGGUCAGCUUAUAAUCCCUAUUUGAUCUGAUACUUGUUUCCUAGGUUUUCCUAGAUGAACCCUAAAUUUUGGGAUUAGGGGUUUAUUUGGGUUUUUGGAUUUAGGGUUAUGAGACCUAAUUGAUGGGUUUGGACCUCUAUAUAGGUUAGAUUGGAAGACCUCCUACCUUCCCAGUUUGCUUUGAGGUUUAGAGAGGGUUUCCAGUUUAGGUGAGUUUUUCCCAACCCUAGCUUGCGCUUGGUUAAUGUUUGAGCUAUUCCGCAUGCCUUCGUUUCGUUUGGGUGCCCCUAUUUUUGAUGGUUCUAGGGUACUAGGGAGCUUGUGGAUAUUCUUCGUUCGGCGAAACGAAGAAGUCGAUCUUUUUUCGGUGGGUUUGGCUUCGUGAAAAGGGGCCGAAAUGGGCCCUAUUGCUCUUUCUAACCUGUUUGGUAAAUUAUUUUAGAAGUUCGAUUUCUAUGCAAAUGGAAUUUCAUAUGAAUUUUAGAGGCACUUAAGAUGCAUGCCUCGUGUAUCAUCCAGAAUUCACUAUAUACGGAGAGCUAUAGAGUAGAAUGCAGCAUACGGAAAAGUGUUUAUUGCAAGCGAAAAAUACAUCUCCGUGAGAAAAUUAUGACUUGGAAUAUGUACUUUUUCGGAAGCAUAGUUCCAUGUUUUGACAUAGAGAACCAGAGUUGUCAUGAAAGUGGGCCACUUUAAAACUAGUAAAACUAUGAAACCUGCAACCUAAUUAGAGACAUGAUGAAGGGCCUUUUGUACAUCUGGCUAUAUAAUCCAUGUUAGAGACAUGAUACAUAGGGAUACGCCUUUGGGACUUUCGAUCAUUCAUGUUAAUUAGACAUGGACUUGUACUUGCGACAAAUCGUUAAGACUACUUGCCAUUGUGCUCAUUCACGCCACAUGUCUGUGAGGGUCGCUCCCUACAAGCCGGCACUCCGGGAUGGCCAUCGCGAUACAUAUUCGCGCGUGACGGUAAUUGGGCGGCCCGAAGUGGAUUGCCGUGGGCCAGGCCCUCGCCUCCUAGGGGUCCGGUGUUGACUACCACCGGGCCCAUUAGGCUGCCGGCACGGGCCAGACAGCCUACAAGGUGGGUCUCAGUGCCAUAGACGGCUCUUCGGGUGGCUCUCCCUUCAGAUUUGACAGUUGAGUAUCAAUCAUGACAUGUGACAAUGAUGACCUGUAUGAGUAAAUUUUCGGACAUUGAACUAGAUAUACGUCACAACAACGGCGAAACUUUACUAUCUUCGCAUUGUUGAACAUUAUGUUUAGUUGGAGACUUUUACUUCAUGCAUAGUCUUUCAUAGCUUAUCCAUUUUAUGAAGUAGAGAAUCAUGUUGUAGUAAAAAAAAGUUACAUUUUACUUACCUUCGCUUUCCUAGCAUUUAUAGUCACUAACCCCGUCUUGGUAGUUUUGGCCUUGUGGUGCAUUCCUGAACGUCAGUAAUUGCCCCUGGGCAAUAUUUUUGAAUAGUCUCAAAAGCCGCCCCCUGUUUUAUGGUUUCCUUUUCAGAGCCUUCCCAACCGGCGGAGGCACGGGAUCGCGGCAAGGGGAACGCGUAGCCUAGCUAGCGAGGAGCCUUACUUGCGUAGGAUGGUUUACUCUUUCUUUGUGUAGCUGAGAGAGUGAGGUUUUGUUCGCAUGGUAAUAGGAGACCCCAACCUAUGUACUCUACUCUUAGCCACCUGUAACCUGGGAUUUACUUGUAUUAGCUUCAUGUUUUCAUUUAUGGAUUUACAGUUUUGUCCCGUAUAUCUGAUUACGUAAUUUAGACCCAUUUAUUAUGGCUCUGAUACUCGCUAGAUGCCGUUUUUAGUUAUAGCUUUUUAUUAUUAUUGGUUGUUAACGCCUUCAUGGCGUUAGACGCAGGCGGGUCUGGGCAGGGCGUGCCGGGCGGGCUUUCCGCUGGGUCACGGGGGCGGGGGGCGUGACAGAUUAAUCUUGUAUCAGAGCCUAGGGUUUGAGUCUUUGGGGACGCUAAGGCCAACCUUAGGCCAGUUGGACUAAUAGGCAUAGGCCUGCGUGAUAGACGAGGUUCUAUUCGACUUGUGAGCGAAUAAGUAUCAUCGAUUGGGUUAUCUAUGAAACUGCUACAAAAGUUAGAGUUGAUUGAGUGUUUGGCUCCUAACUUCGCGGAGGGUACGUUGGCCCGGCCGACACGUAACAAUCCGGGAAGUCUAUGUCAGUGGUAGAACACUUCUCUACUUUCGCAUGAUUUGGGGUUUUGUUUUGAGCGGGGAUGUCGAACGCGUGAGUAUCUUCUAAACUUGCGCUUUAUGUCCUUGUAGUGAGGGAAUGCCCGAUUACUCCUCCAAAUCUUGCCGGGGCGGACCAAUGGCCAAAUUUGAGGAGGUCGAGACUCCCGCUACCUCCUCCGUCCAGCGAGGUCCGUGAGUUGAGGGCGCCAGCUUGAGCCCUUACUGAUUUGGUUUACUGCCAGGCCAAGGGCGGUAGACCGGCCCGACAGAGACUGAGGCCCCGCCGCGCCGACAGGAGGCGGGUGAAGCCUCUGUGAGGAGCUUACUGUUCAGCAGACGGCAGGGCUUCUAGGAGACGCAGGGCCGCUACGCCGCCUGGCACCCAGUUUGUGGACGUUGCACCGACGCGAGCGCCGUCCCCGCGCCUAGAUUCUUGCGCGUGCGGUGCCUAGCGGCCGUACCCCCAGGAAGGAGGUUUUGGUAGCACCGCCUGUGCAGAGGCCCCCGGUUGGAGCAGCUUUCCGCUAUUUUGGUUGGGGGGUGGAGCGAGAUAGACUGAUGGAGCGCCCUCAAUGAGUUCAGGAGGUGCAGUCCCCCUGAGUCUUUGAUGGCGAGAAAGGUCGACCACCUGGAUGCGUGGAGAAGUUGAUGCAUAUGGAGGAAGCUCUUCGCGACACUUUCGUGGAGGAGAGGGACCAGAGUUUGCUCGCCACUCACCCUUGGACGGCGAGGCACCGCUGGUGGUUGGACUUUCAGGAGCACCCAGCACUGCUUGGCAUCGAUCACUUGGAGCGAGGUUCAAGGAGCCUUCUUCUAGCGGCACUACUUCCCGACCAGCGUCAAGAGGUAAGAUGGAGCAGAUCCUGGCGCAGCUGCGCGCAGGGUGACAGGACUGUAGCCGAGUACGAGAGAGAGUUUUCCUCGGCUUCCUGCAUUGCGUGCCUUCGUCGUGCCGGGUUGACGACGAAGGACAAGGCCCCGCACUUUGACGAGGAUUGAGACCGUCUAAUUUCUUCGGUUUGUGCAAUCCUCCUAACCUCCCAAACCUACCGGGAGUGGUGGAUCGCGCGCUAAAUCGUGGAGAGCCGGCGCGGGCAGAGGUCCUGAGCAAGCGAGAGGCUAAGGACAAGGGUAAGGCCAAGAGGCCUGCGGCGAGGGUGCGAGCCAGACGCACUCUAGGAGGCCGCCGAAAGCAUCCGAGGGAGGCCAGGCAGCGUGGACGCGGCCCCCUCAUAGCCGCAUCCCGAGGAGGAAUCCGAUCCGGCGCCGGCCUUCCCCGUGUGUGAUCUGCGGUGGUCCCCCACUACCCACCCGCAGUGUCGCACCAGCGGGCCGGGCAGGUUUUCCCAAGUGUGCCACAGAGGGCCAACCGUUGCGUAACCGAAGUCCGCGGAGGUUCUUCACCGCACCGUCGACUGCACGGCACCCGCUCUACCCCAGCGUCAGGGCCGACGGAUCCUCCGUCGACACCAGUACCAGCCCCUGCGGGCCCGGCCAACCCGUCCAGCGCCAGAGCGAGGGAACGGGCUCAGACCAGGCCCCGAGUGGGCGCAUUGUCUGCCGCUUCAGACCUGAGUGAGCCCCCAGGCAGCCGAGGAUUGUGGUUGGCAGGUAAUCCAUUUUACUUGAUGGCAUUAGAGUUCGUGCUUUAAUGUUGAUACUCGGUGCAUCGCAUUCAUUUUAAGAUAUGGUCUUUUGCCGAGUUGCAAGGCACCCUUUGGUUCCUUUGUCGCAUACGGGAGCAUGUCGUAUGUACCGACCACAUCUGUGGACAUUAGAGAGUAUAGCCCCAGUUGCCCUAAUUUCGGGCUAGGAGACUGGAUUUAUCGCCUAUAGAUUUGCCUAGGCUUGCGCAAGCUUGGGAAUUUUUGAUUGUGGUCUUGGGCAAUGGAUUGGUUGACCAAGUAGUUACUGCCACGAUUGAUUGCAAGAAUCGCGACCGGUUACUUUUAGAGAACCCUGGGGCCAGAGACCGAGGUGGUAUUUUGUGGAUGCCGAAGUUCGCUGUUUGCGAUGACGAUCAGCUCGUCUCGAGCUAGGCAGGCUGAUCAGUAGAGNNNNNNNNNNNNNNNNNNNNNNNNNNNNNNNNNNNNNNNNNNNNNNNNNNNNNNNNNNNNNNNNNNNNNNNNNNNNNNNNNNNNNNNNNNNNNNNNNNNNAACAGAAAGAGAAUAGAUAAGAGGGGCCGCGUGAGUACUAUCUAUUUAACUACCCCGCUUAUGUUCUUAUUGUGUGUGCAGUUGUUUACCUGCUUCAUGAAAUGCAUCGUUCACUAGGUCCGCACAUCGUAUAGAAUAAGUGGCUGUCAGUGGACAAUAUGAUCAAGCGAUACAUUGCGUCUGUAGUGUAAUAAGUAAACGGUUACUUCAUUAUAAUUGCGAUUACCGCCAUUCUCUGUAAUUUACAUACAGUAACGUGAAGCAACUAUGCACUUACUAUGAUCAUGAACACCCCACACAUGCAUAUAAAGGUCCAAACUUGCAUCGAUUGGUAACCUACCCUCAAAGUCACUCAACUCGUAAUUCCGUUAACGAUCAUCAUUUGUGUUACGCUCCAUUUAGUCUAAGCUCACUUUUUAAUACUUUACUCAUUUCAUGACAUGUUCUGCUUCACCACCGCCAAGCUUCGCAAUCAUUAUAAUACCCAUCCACCUCAGGCUGUGGUCUUUUCGCUGUUGUUGAUGCUCGCCGUGUAGUAACCAUCUCCACUCUAGGAUAGCUUCCCCACGCACUCCUACUUCGGUCAUCCCCCCCAACUUGCCGUGCCCGGCCCGACGCAAUUCAUGUCGUCCCUGUGAUUGGUCUAUCUUCGGAUGCGCUGUAGGGACUUGAUCUUUCCACUUAUAUCAUUUCGUGGCACCAUCAGCACAGGCACCUCAACCCCAACCACUUUGAUUCCGCCUCAGGAUUAUCAUAGUUCUUGCCUAUGUCUAUAUCAAUGCAUGGAAAUAUUAAUGAUAUUCUAAUGUCGUCUUUUUCUUAUUGUAUCAUGUUCUCUAACAUCUGGGAAGUGCAGAUAUUUUUACGUGGUCAUAUUCAACUUAUGUCUUUUAUCGUCAUUUUUUUAGUUUAUAGUUCAAUGAUUCUUUUGAUGACAUUCGUUCCUGUUUUUCUAUCGCUCAAUUGUAUUAUGGCCAACUAUAUUUUUCCAUAGUUAAAUGUUCAUCUAUUCAAUUCUCAUUUAAGAGUUCUACUUCACUGAUUUGCUUAAAGUAACACUGUUCUUCGUUUAUGGCAUGGCGUUCAUAGCUGGAUUUAUAUUCUCUACCUUAUAUUAGUGAAAAUUGUUGUUCAUAAUAUACAAGGCAUGAUUUUAAGGUGCUCUAUAUAAGUUUAUAUAAAUCUAUUUGUACAUAGCAUGAAACUCUUAAAAUAUUUUUAACAAAAGUAGAUAAGAGCAAUAGGGGGCCAUUUCGCGUUAGCCUCGCCAUUUCUACAAGCCAAAUCCUCACCUUGAUGAACGAAAACUCCGCGUGCUGUUUCGGCUCACCAUGAGGCCGUGUCCCUCUAGCUCGCUAGUACCUCUAGAGGUAUAUUUGAAACAGUUCAUAACGAGCAAACCUAUCAAACACCUACUCAAUCAUUAGUCUAAAUAAGCAAGGUUGAGGAAAACUCAUUUCCCGCUAAGCUUGGCAAAAAUCCUCUAUAAGCUUCCAAAAGGCUUGAGCCCUCGCAAUCCAGACUAAAGUAGCUCAAUCACUCAUAGAGCUUCAAAAACCCUAGAUUCAAAAUCUGCCAAUUUAAAGCCUAAAACCUCAUUCUAUGUUUCUAUCACAAGAGCUCAAUAUAAAUUAAUUUAGAUGAAAGAUUGAGCUACUGAACCUUUAAGAUGCUUCAAACAAGCUCAAAAUGCUUAAGUUCCAAAGAGCUGAGCUCAAUCGGCGCUCAAAAACCAAGCCUAGCUAAACAAUGGUGAGAGAGCCAUAAAAGGAGAAAAGGAAAGAUAAUCCUCUCAAAAAUCCAUCUAAAUGGAGAUAAUAUCCAAGCUGGAGCAAGGGGCUCUCACUUCUCGCUCUCUUGGUUCAACACAAAAAAGCGCCUAAGGGGAGGUGGGUUGCUGUAAAACAGCCAAAUGCGAAAACCCCUGCAUAUUGCUUUGGCAACUGCCCCUGGUACCGGACACGUGCUCCUGACGGUAGAACCCACAAUAUGCAAACCCGAGCUCGGUUCGCGGGCUGCGGUUCUGUAACCGUCAGCCCUGGCAUGUAACCUGGUACAACUAUUCAACUUGACCGUACAAGGACAUUCUUGUGUCGGAUCAAUCUUGGCUGGCACGGCUACAGAGUGACCAAAAAUUCAUUUGGGAUUGCGUCGAAGUUCAAUCCAACAUCCUCGGAUCGUGCCAGGGUUGGAACAAUCAAUCAACUACCUCCAAAAAACAGUGGCAAAGGUCCAAACACAGAUAAACAUCUUGAAUCUGGGCAUUUGCAAGAUCCAUGCAUUACAUUCGCUCUAAUAAAGGAUUCGUCCGCUGGAACUCAAAGUGCGACUGUACCUCAGACGGGGCCCGUGGAAAAAAGAUGGAUAGCGCUCUUGCAGUCGAACUCUCUAUCCCACGGUUGCCUCGCGCGUCCGCGUGUUGCCGUUCCAAAGAAGCCUUCAGAUAGGAGAAUAGGUCGCGAUUCGCAGGCUUCUUUACUUUCGCGAGCGUAAUAAGUUUUCCAGGUUGCUCCUCGAGUCAAUGGCCGCGGACUCCACGUGGUAUAUUCACAAGACGUGAAGUGAUCAUGAUUACUUACCGAAGGCACCCGAUACUAUAAAAGACUGUGCAGGCCGGAUAGGUUUCAGUGGGUAAGCAAGUCGAUAUCCUACCGACUAACAGCCCAACGAUCUCAUACGGUCCCGAAUAAACGGGGGCUGUCACUUUCCCCGUCCCAAUUCUUUGAUCUCUAUCCGAGACUUCAAAAAUGUCAACUUGAACCAAGCUCGCCGUGUCGUCGGCUGUCUGCUCCUUCUGUGCCUACUCUGGUCUGUCAAAAUCGGUACCCGAGCGAUUUCGAACCUUGUCCUCCAGCUUCGCUGGAUCUACAUUAGGGCCAAGAAGCAAGUCUUCCUCGACUUCAUCCAAUAGAAGUGGCGAAUCAUACAUUUCGGUCGUAAAGGGCUUCGAAGGGCGCGCCAUUUGAUUUGCUUAUUAACUGUUGUUAUAUACAAACCGAUUAUUGUAGAUGCUAGCGAUACAUGCCCUGGAAGUCUAAUGACCAGCUCGGAGCAUAUCCUCUAAGGGAAUAGUGCCUCCGACUGUCCAUCACUCUGCGGUGAAUGCUGGUACGAUCCAAUUCGGGUGCCUAAGCGUCCUGUAGGCUCCUCCAAAGUGAAGCACGAAGCGCGUGUGUCGAUCAGAUACAAUCGAUGUAGGCAUCCAUGAAAUGCGGCAAUCUCAUAAGGUAACCUGUGCGAAGCUCUCUCGCGGUCCAAUACAGGUUAUGAAUAGGUAAUGAAAGUGCGCCGACUUCGUACAUAUCAAGAUCACCGCAAAUACAUCGAUGCCCGACUGGAGGAGAAAUCCUGUACGAUUCCAUGUGAUUUCUCCACUUCACACUGGAAUUGGCCAAAUCUCUAAGCAUCCACCGCGAACCGUGCUGCUGCUUACUUUGUUGGCAAGUUAGACAACGAGCCACAAACUCGCAAACGUCCUUUUUAUCCGGCCCAAUAAGCAACUUUAGAUCCUUGUAAUCUGGGUCCCGGAUGUAUAGCUAGGGCGGCCCACGUGCGCCUUGUUGAAGAUAUCUUUUUAAUUCCGAAUCCCCGACACAUAGUCGUCUGAAAGCGAUCACCCUCGUCGUCACCAGGAAUCACACGGAUGCCACAUAAAACUCAUUUUUCUCUACAUCUUUUGGCAAUUCCAAUCAGAAACAUGCUAUCCUUGAUUCGUCCAACAAGGUAGGUAUUGCACUAACUAAUGUCAAUCACGCUCAAAGGGUGUAACAGAGGUCACUAUCUUCUCCAACACCAACCGCUUCAUCUGCUAUCAACUGCGGUUGAGUCACAACAUGCAUUCGUAAUUUUCCAGUCGAUUUUUACUAGGCAUGAUCCGCCACCCGCUCACUUACCUUGCCCGGGUGUAAAGAAUAGUCAGAUCAUCAUCCUUGAGUAGCUCCAACCACUGCGCUGCCUCAAGUUCAACUGAUACGAAUAUGAGGGAGACGCAACUAUUCUGAGUAAUCAGUAGGUACUGUUUUAGCUCUUGUGAUCCGUGUAUAAUUCGCGUCGCUCAUAAAGGUAGUGGCGCCAGCUUCAAUGCGAAACUAGGCCGCGCAACUUCCAAUCAUGCGUCGGGUAGUUCUUCUCAUAUUCCUUAGUUGGGAAAACCAUCGCGAUCACACUGCCAUCCUGCACUCAAUACACAGCCAGUUCGUAAGUGAAGCAUCACUAUAAACCAACAUACCCUGCUCACAGCUAUGGUAGGCAAGAUCGUGGCCAUCUCAGUCUCUGCUCUCAACUCUUGGAAGCUUCAUCUCGCAAGGCAUCAAUUCAAAUGAAACUUGACCUUUGUGGCUUGAAGCCCGUGGGGGAAUUAGAAUAACCUUGCACAUCUUCAACGAAUCUCCGAGAUAACCGGCAAUCCAAGGAAAGGAUCCGUAUCUCCGUGAGUCGCGUCCGCAAUCCUUGAAUUUCUGUCAUAUUUUCUGGGAUCCACUGCAUAAUCCUGAUCCUGAAAUCAAGUGUCCAAGGAAGACUUACUCUCGAUAGCCAAAAAUUACACAUUUCUUCAACUUGUAUAAACUCCUUUUCUCGAAGUACUUGUAGCAGAGGGUACAGAUCUCAAAUGCUCCUCGUGAUUCACAUCACAUUCGUGAGUAACCAAAUGUCGCGAUGAACACCUACAGAACCUGUCUAAUUAAGCUUAAAACACGUCAUCAGAUCCAUAAAAGCUGCCGGGGCAUUAGUGAGCCGAACGCAUACGUGAACUCGUAAUGUCAUACCUGUGUUCUGAAAGCGUCUUUGAUACUCUCGGCUGAUUUCAAGCUGGUGGAUCCGACUGCAAGUCGAUCUUGGAAUACACACAUGAUCCCUGAAGCUGAUCAAACAAGUCGUCGAUCCUUGGCAACGGAUACUUGUUCUUGAUCGUGACUUUGUUAAGUUCACGAUAAUCCACACAAAGGCGAAGUGACCCGUCCUUCUUCUUGACGAACAAAACGGGUGCUCCCUAAGGUGAAACGCUCGGUCGAAUGAAUCCUUUGUCCAACAAAUCCUGCAGCUGUGCCCUCAGCUCCCUCAGCUCUGCCGGUGCCAUCCUAUAGGGUGCUUUUGAGAUUCGGGUAGUCCCAGGGACGAGAUCUAUCACAAACUCAAUCUCCUUAUCAGGAGGCAUACCUGGUAGCUCGGCUGGAAACACAUCCUGAAACUUGAAGGCAUGCACCAAUCUGAAAACUCCGAGCCGUAGACCUCGAACAAAACAAUCCGCCCGGUCCUGCUCUGUCGCCGCCACGUCCGGGACGCAGCUCAGGAGAUGGGUGAACUCCCGCUCGUACUCCCGAACCGUGCGGUUGCCUUGCUUAAGCUUGCGAAAAUCUUCUCGCAUCUUCCUCUUAUCACUGUCGGGGAAGUACUCGGCGAACAUCAGUUUGCGGAACUCCGCCCAAUCGAUCGGGGGAAGCUCCGGGGAUCGGUCCUGCUUGACCCUCCUCCACCAAGUCCUGGCCCGCUUCUCGAAGCAAUGCGCGGCCAAGUUCACCUUGUCCUUUUCCAAGGUGAAGAUGUCCUCAAAUAGAGUCUCCAUAGCCGUCAGCCAAGACUCCACCGCAGCUGGGUCCACCACCUCUCCGUCGAAAGUAGGCGGGCGAAACUUCGUGAACCUCGUGAGCGCCACGUAGCCGCGCUCACGCUCCGCCUCCUCAGCCACUACCGCGGGUGUAGGAGAACUCGAACUCGCCGGAGGAAUAUCCACCGGUGGGGGUUGCGCCACCACCGGAACCGAUACGCCACCCACACCCUCGGCCGCAUCAGGAGCGCGAACCGAAGGCGCAGGCGAACAGCGGCCUGGAUCCGCUGCCGCAGCCGCCGCCGCAGCUUGCUGCUCCAGCAGCUCCUGAAUCCUAUCGAACCGUCCAGUGAGCGCUGCAACUUGCGCUCGCAACUCCUGCACCUCAGUAGGCUCAGCUGACACUGGCGUCACUGGAGGCACGGCUGGCUCGGGCACCUCUCGAGGUGGUGCCGGAGCGGUCCUACGCACGUAGCGUCUCUUUGGUGCCAUAGCUCCUGAAACGCAAACAGAUGGUCAAUUACUUAACCCAACAUCGUCGUCGUAAUUGCGAAACAUAACGAUUAAACAACAUCAAUCAGGCGGUAGCUUGCAAGUGUCUUAAUUCUCGACUUUCGGCAUCGUGUUGUCGGCCGCCAACACAAUCACCUCAAGCCAAAAAUUAAUACCACUUGAAUCAUCUCUAGUCAUAACUAGAGUAACAACUCCAACGCCAAACCCAAUCAAUUAGCUUCCGCCGCGUCAUAGGUUCACGUCGCACUCACGCACCUAUAACCUUAGGGUUGCCAACCUAGAGUCUCCUAGGUCAUCCUAGACUCUCUCUUUUGCUUGCUCUUAACUCGCUCUGAUACCACCAACUGUCACGCCCCAGACCGCACCACCCGAAAACGGUACCAAUUUGGUCCGGUUCGAGGGCGGCGGCGCGACCGCCGAACGAACGGAGUUUCCCCCGUCCGCCCAAGGCUAAGCAACAGAUUGUGUACAACAAGUCCACAGAAAAAAUAACUUGCACUCAUACACAAUCCGCAACGAAACGAGAGCACAAACAGUGCUACAACCAACUAGAGCAAGCGAUACAAGUAAAACCAUACAAGUAUACAAAAGAGAGAAACUUAGCUAAUUGAGACUUAAUUGAAAUAUUAAACCUCUUUCGAUAUCCUUUAAACUUUAAGCAUUUAAUACAACUUGCAUUCUUUUUCCAGAUGAAUAUACAUCAUAAACUCUCCAAAACCUCACCCUAUACAACAUCUACUCUCAUAAUGUAACAAAAGUACAGGGUAGAGCUAAUGCAAGUAGGAAAGGUAAAGCUAUCAACCAAACAGCUAGGGCGCUAAGCCCUUGCCGCGAUCCAUCGAUGAAGGCCCGCUGUCCUGUGUACCUGUACCCCCAAUACCACACGGGGGUGAGAACUACGAAUAGUUCCCAGUGGGUUCGGCCGCCGACUCCGCCGAUCUACCCACUAUUGCACUCAGCAGGCAUAGGAGAUAUAUAUUAUGGCUAAUAUUAAAUAUAAACUGCAGCUAACGGAAAGCAGGUAUGUAAACACACUAUAGUCAACUAUCGCCAUUGGAAUCAUGAAUGCAUAUAUAAAUAAGCUGGUAAGUAGCAACUAUCAUAGUAGUUUAUCUUGACAACAUGCUACUAGUAAGCAAAUCAGCUGAUAUGAAAAAAGAUGCUACUAUGAACUCAAUCAUGGGGUAAGACUCAAUAGGUAACAAUCUCGCAAGGAAGCACAAGGUCCAAGCAAGAUCACUAUGCAAUCUCCGAGGGUACUAGCUGGUCAAUGCCCCGAUACGCUGCGAUAACAAGCGGCUAUCCGAGGCAGCAGCAGGCUGGCCUGCUAGUGCAAACUCCGGAGCCGACAACUUGAGGGGAGCGACCCCACCAAGCGCAGACAGCAAGUGAGCAAGAUCAUCUCACGAGCACAACAACAACCCUUUGAGGGUAAUAUUCAUCAUGGAAGACGGUAUAACUUGUACCAAUCUCAUUAGUGUCUCAACGACACUAAUGUUCUAAUAUCAAGAUCAUCAAAACAUAGUCCACCCGUCAUAGUUUUCUAGUAGAUGCAACUCGUCAUUUGACUCAUUUUUCAACACUAGUAACAACUAUCCUUUUGCAACAUAAGUCAUUUGUCAAUCUCAUAUAGGUUAAGAUUUUCAUCAAGCAAUCAUCAUGCAUACUAGAUCAUAAACCAACCAAGCAAGAUAUAUUUAUUGAACUACUAGCAUGCAAGUAUAAGCAACAAUAAUCAUUUUCCUAACCCUAUAUGUACUAUGCAUAAUGAAUCAAUUUAACUUAGACAUAGAAGGUGGCCCGAUGACUUCGGGAUGGCACUCCCCCACCUUAGGUGAUGCCAACAACACUCCGAGACGUGUUCUCGUGCUAGUCUUGUCGCCGCUUAAUUUUCGUUGGGUUAACUUCAACCCUUUAGCGCAUCAAAUGGCGAUAUCUUCGUGCCCACUCGUCGGAUCGACGAACCGUCUUCGCCUACGCGUUUAUAAGCAUAGAAAUUAGGUUUCUAACCCCUCAAAAGAGAUCAAACCCUAAUAUUUGCAAAAUCCCCAAAAUCAAGCACUAGGUUGAGCAACAAUAGAGAAUUCAUGGUUUCAAGCUCCAAAUUUGGGAUUGAACCUUCUCUUAAGCUUCAAUGGUUUCCCUUUGAACCAUUCUUAAGCAACAAAACCCUUUUUAAAACCUAGGUUUAGCAACAAUGAGAAAAACCAUAGGUGCUAGCCUCAAUGUGAGCUAGAUCCGUCAUCUCUAAGCUCAUUAGGUUCCAUUUGAACCAAUAAAAGCAACAAAACCACCCAAACCCUAGAAAUCCAAAACUAGGGUUAGAGCUUACCUCUAGGGUUUGUUCCAAAAUAAGCUUUAGCUUGAUGGAGAGGAGGGAGAAGAGCUUCUUGAUCUUCUCCUUGAUCUUCUCCUUCCUUUCUCUCCUUCUCUUCUUCUUCUUUCUUCCUCUUUUCUUCUUCUCCUUCCUUUCUCCUUCAACCGGUUAGAGAGAGAGAGGGAGCUAGAGAGAGGGAGGGGCUGUGAGAGAGAGAGAGGAGAUAGCUGAGAGUGAGAGGGUUAAGUCCUCUAUUGUAACAAUAUGCUAAAAAGCCCUCCAUUUAUCAAAUUUUGCAACUUAACCCGCUGCCUGCGCGCCCUUGUACCGGUACACGGUUUUUUUGUACCGGUACAAGCCCUGCGCGAUGGCCAAAACCGAGCGCAAACCGAGCCUCGGGUUUCUCUGUUUCGUAGAGCUUGUACCGGUACAAGCGAGCCUUGUACCGGUACAGCGCCUGAAGCCUUCGAACCCGAGAGCUGCGCAGCCCGGCUGCGAUGGUUGUACCGGCACAGCCAUCACCCUUGUACCGGUACAACAGCCCCUGAAUGCUGUUUUUCGAUCUGUUUCGAUUCCUUUUCGCGUCCAACAACGCUAAAACUAUUCCAACAUCUUUGGAACUUAUUUUUACUCUUCCAAAUUUGUUGGAACACCGAAUGGAACUUGUUCCAACCGUGCAAUCACCUACUUUGGUCCAUUUGGCCAAAGUUAGCCAAUAUCGUCGAAAUUCGAUAUCUUACACCUCAACCAAAGUAGGAAAAGCGGCUCCAACCGGAGGCCUCUGCACAGGUGGUGCCGCCAAAACCUCCUCCUGGGGUACGGCUGCAGGCGCCGCACGCGAAGAACUGAGCGCGGGGGACGGCGCUCUCGGUGCAACGUCCACAACUGGUGAUGGCGGUGUAGGGGCCUGAGUCUCCCUGGAGGCUGCCGCCUGCUGCAAUAGUAGAUCCUCCAGACGCUUCAUCCGCGUCUCCUGUCGGCGCGCCGCCUCAGUCUGCUGUCGGGCCGCCUCCGCCUGCUGAGUGACCAAAUCACUGAGGGCCGCAAGCUGGCCCCUCAACUCACGGACCUCGCUGGAUCCGGAGGUAGCGGAGGUCUCAACCUCCUCGAAGUUUGCCGCAUCGUCCGCCCCGGCAGAUUGGGAGCGAAUAAUCGGCAUCGUCACUACAACACCAUAAAAGCGCAAGUUAGUAAGAACCCACGCUAUCGCAUCCCCGCUCAAAUAAACAAUACCCAAAUCAUGUGAAAGUAAAGAAGUGUUCUUCACUACUAACUCCCGAUGUUACGUUGUCGGCCGCCAACGUAACCCUCCGCGAAGUUAGGAGCCAAACACUCCAAUCAACUCUAACUUUUUAGAGUUAUCAUAAUACCCAAUCAUGAUACUUUCGCUCACAAGUCGAAUAGACCUCGUCUCUCACGAGCCUAUUUCCUAUAGUCCAACCGGCCUAAGGUUUGCUAGGUCCCCUAAGACUCAACCCUAGGCUCUGAUACCAAAUUAAUCUGUCACGCCCCGGGACCCAGCGGAAGCCCGCCCGGCACGUGCCCAGACCCGCCAUACGUCUAAAACAUAUAAGGCGUCUAAAAACAACAAUAAUAAAAGCAAUAAUAAAAGACAUCUAGGAGUAUCAGAGCAUAAUAAAUGUCUAAAAGCUACAACAAAGGAUAAAGAUAAAACUGUAAAUCCACUAAAUAAAACAUAAAGUGAUACAAGGAAAUCCCAGAUACAAGUGCUAUAGGUAGAUACAUAGGUGGUCUCUAUACAUGGAUACAAAAACCUCUCACUCUCUCAACUACAAAAAGAAAGAGUAAACCACCUAGGCAAAGUACCGCUCCUCGCUAGCUAGCUAAGCGAUCCCCUUGCCGCGAUCCCGUGCCUCCGCCGGUGCCGAAGGCUCUGAAAAGUAAACCAGAAAACAGGGGCGUGAGAACUAUUAAAAAUAGUUCCCAGUGGGCAAUUACUGACUUCAGUGAACUGCGCCACAAGGCCCAAAAGCUACAAAAAGAUGUCAGUGACAAACAAUAAGGUAAAGCGAAAGGUAAGUAAAAUGUAACUUACUGUAACAUACAGUCUCUACUUAGCAUGAAUUGCAUAUGUAAUAGAGCAACAUUAUCAUGAAUGUACAUGGGUGUGUAUGACAUGCAUAAGCAUAGAAAUGCAACUAAUCCGAUGUCCUCAAUGCAGAAAUAGCAAAGGUGUCAUUGUUUACUAUUCUAGUCCAAGUCCACUUUAAUAGUUUUAAAGUUCACAUAGCACGUUCUGUCACUAAGUCCCAAUCAUAUAAGACCCACCCGAAGGCUGUCUGGCCUGCGCCGUGCCUAAUGGCCCCGUGGUAGUCAACAUCCCCACUCUAGGGAUGAGCCUCCCCCACGGCAAUCCACUUCGGCGCCCAAUCCCGCACGGGCGAGCAUAUGUCGCGAUGGCUAUCUCCGGAGUGCCGGCUUGUAGGGAGCGACCCUCACAAGCAUGUGCGAAUGAGCACAAUGGCAAGCAAGCAAUGAUCCGUCUCAAGAACCAAGUCCUCAUGUCUAACAACAUGGAAUAUAUCAAGUAUCUAAAUGGCCUAUCUCUAUGUCAUCAUGUCUCUAACAUGGAAUGUAGCAGAUAUGUAGUGGCCUAUCAACAUGUCUUUAUGUUGCAGUUUAAUAGUUUACUAGUUUCAAGUGCCCCUUGAUGACACUCUUGUUUUUCUAUGUCAAAGCAUGGCAACUAUAUUUCCAAGUACAUGUUCCAAGUCACGAUCCUCAUAAGAGGUGUACUUUUCACUUGCAAAAUGAACACCUUUCCCGUAUGCAUGCGUUCUACUCAUAUAGCUCUACUAUAUAGUGAAAUUUUUUUCAUAAUACACAAGGCAUGCAAUUUAAGUGCUCUAAAAUUUAUAUAAAUUCUAUUUAGCAUAGGCAUGAACUUAAAAAUAUUUUACAACAAGUAGAAAGAGCAUAGGGGCCAUUUCGCCCCCAUUUCCACGAAGCCAAACCCACCGAUGACAACGAAACUCCUCGUUCGCUCCCACGAGGGUGUCCUCUAGUCUCCUAGUACCCUAGAGGUAUAGAAACAUGUGUCAUACGAGCCAAACGAUCAAAACCUAGCUCAAUCAUUAAGCUAAUCAAGCAUAGGUGAGGAAAACUCACCGCUAGUGCAAAAAUCUCCUCUAAAGCUCCAAAAGAGAGCUUGAGCCCUUCCAAUCCCACCAAAUGGAAGCCUCUAAUCCACUCAAUCUAGCUUCAAAAACCCUAGAUUCAAAAUGCCCAAUUUAAGCCCUAAAACCUCAUUCUAUGGUUUCAUCACAAGGAAGCCAAUAAAAAUCUAAUUUAGAGGAAGAGGAUGAGCUACUAACCUUUAAGAAGCUUCAAACCAAGCUCAAAAUGCUCUAAGUCCAAAGAGCUCAGCUCAAUCAAGCCUCAAACCCAAGCUUCUAGCUCCAACAAUGGUGGAGAAGCAUAAAAGAGAAAAGGAAAAGGAUUAAUCCACCAAAAAUCCAUCUAAAAUGGAGAUCAAAUCCAAGUGGAGCAAGGUGGAGCUCCUCUCACCUUCUCCUCCUCUGGUUCCAGCACAAAAAAAGCCCUAAGGGGCGUGGGUGCUGUUAUAAAAAGCCCACAAUUGCGAAAAACCCCCUGCAGUUCCAUUCUGGGCAAACCUGCCCCCUUGUACCGGUACACGGGCUCCUGUACCGGUACAAAGCCCACGAAAAUGCAAACCCGAGGCUCGGGUCGCGGGGUCUGCGGCUCUGUACCGGUACAAGCCCGAUGGCUGUACCGGUACAACCAUCAACCUUGUACCGGUACAAGACCAUUCUUGUUCCGGUACAAGCUCUGCUGCAGGCUACCCGAGAGCUGACCAAAAAUUCCAGUUUCGGGAUUUUCGUGCCAAGUCUCAAUCCAACAUCCUCGGGAUGCGUGCCAGGGGUCGGAACACUAUCAACAACCCUCCAAAAACAGUGGAAAGGCUCCAAACACAGAUCAAACACUCGAAUCUUGCGAUUUGCAAGAUCCAGUGCAUUACAUUCACCCCUUCUAAAAAGGAGUUUCGUCCGCGAAACUCAAAAUGCGACGUACCUCAAGACUCCACCUGAAAAAGAUGGGGAUAGCGCUCCUGCAGCGCACUCUCUAGCUCCCACGUGGCCUCGCGCUCCGCGUGGUUGCCCCAAAGAACCUUCACAUACGGAAUAUCCCGAUUCCGCAGCUUCUUUACUUCGCGAGCUAAAAUCUUCACAGGUUGCUCCUCGAAGCUCAAAUCCUCGCGCAGCUCCACUGGUAUAGUCUCCAAGACGUGAGCUGGAUCAUGAAUGUACUUCCGAAGGACCGAUACAUAAAAGACGUCGUGCACGCCGGAUAGGUUCGGUGGUAGAGCAAGUCGAUACGCUACCGGACCUACACGCUCCAAGAUCUCAUACGGUCCAAUGAAACGGGGGCUCAACUUUCCCCGAAUCCCGAAUCUUUUGAUUCCUCUAGUCGGCGAGACCUUCAAGAAAACAUGGUCUCCAACUUGGAACUCCAAGUCUCGCCGUCGUCGGUCGGCGUCGCUCCUCUGUCUACUCUGCGCUGUCAAAAGUCGCUCCCGAGCGAUUCGAACCUUGUCCUCAGCUUCCUGGAUUACAUUAGGGCCCAAAGCAAGUCUCUCGCCGACUUCACUCCAAUGAAGUGGCGAUCUACACUUCCGUCCGUAAAGGGCUUCGAAGGGCGCCAUCUUGAUGCUUGCUUAAUAACUGUUGUUAUAAGCAAACUCCGCCAUAGGUAGAUGCUGCGACCAUCCUCCCUGGAAGUCUAUCACGCAUGCUCGGAGCAUAUCCUCUAAGGUCUGAAUAGUGCGCUCCGACUGUCCAUCACUCUGCGGGUGGAAUGCUGUACUGAAAUCCACAAUGCGGGUGCCUAAAGGCUGUCCCCUGUUAGGCCUCCUGUCCAAAAUUGAGACACGAAGCGCGUGUGCGCGUAUCAGAUACAAAUCGAUGUAGGCAACUUCCAUGGAAAAUCCGCAUAGAAAUUCUCAUCAACGGUUAAACAUCUUGAUGCGAGCUUCUCUCUCCCCCGUCCACAAGUCGUAUGAAUAGGUAGAAGUGCCGCCGACUNNNNNNNNNNNNNNNNNNNNNNNNNNNNNNNNNNNNNNNNNNNNNNNNNNNNNNNNNNNNNNNNNNNNNNNNNNNNNNNNNNNNNNNNNNNNNNNNNNNNNNNNNNNNNNNNNNNNNNNNNNNNNNNNNNNNNNNNNNNNNNNNNNNNNNNNNNNNNNNNNNNNNNNNNNNNNNNNNNNNNNNNNNNNNNNNNNNNNNNNNNNNNNNNNNNNNNNNNNNNNNNNNNNNNNNNNNNNNNNNNNNNNNNNNNNNNNNNNNNNNNNNNNNNNNNNNNNNNNNNNNNNNNNNNNNNNNNNNNNNNNNNNNNNNNNNNNNNNNNNNNNNNNNNNNNNNNNNNNNNNNNNNNNNNNNNNNNNNNNNNNNNNNNNNNNNNNNNNNNNNNNNNNNNNNNNNNNNNNNNNNNNNNNNNNNNNNNNNNNNNNNNNNNNNNNNNNNNNNNNNNNNNNNNNNNNNNNNNNNNNNNNNNNNNNNNNNNNNNNNNNNNNNNNNNNNNNNNNNNNNNNNNNNNNNNNNNNNNNNNNNNNNNNNNNNNNNNNNNNNNNNNNNNNNNNNNNNNNNNNNNNNNNNNNNNNNNNNNNNNNNNNNNNNNNNNNNNNNNNNNNNNNNNNNNNNNNNNNNNNNNNNNNNNNNNNNNNNNNNNNNNNNNNNNNNNNNNNNNNNNNNNNNNNNNNNNNNNNNNNNNNNNNNNNNNNNNNNNNNNNNNNNNNNNNNNNNNNNNNNNNNNNNNNNNNNNNNNNNNNNNNNNNNNNNNNNNNNNNNNNNNNNNNNNNNNNNNNNNNNNNNNNNNNNNNNNNNNNNNNNNNNNNNNNNNNNNNNNNNNNNNNNNNNNNNNNNNNNNNNNNNNNNNNNNNNNNNNNNNNNNNNNNNNNNNNNNNNNNNNNNNNNNNNNNNNNNNNNNNNNNNNNNNNNNNNNNNNNNNNNNNNNNNNNNNNNNNNNNNNNNNNNNNNNNNNNNNNNNNNNNNNNNNNNNNNNNNNNNNNNNNNNNNNNNNNNNNNNNNNNNNNNNNNNNNNNNNNNNNNNNNNNNNNNNNNNNNNNNNNNNNNNNNNNNNNNNNCUCCGAGUGCGUGUUUCCUCAGUUCAAGUAAACCUUACUACGCACGCUCUCUUCGAAGGUUCUCAACUUCGUCUCUGACUGCUGGCGGGGCUAGAACUGGGAUGGUCAUCGACCUCGUCCCAUACACCAAAUAUCACUACGAAGUGAAUUGCCUGACCCGGUGAGGGGAGUAGAUAACCUUGCAAAUCCCUCAACGAAUCUCCGGUAGUAACCGGCCAAUCCAAGGAAGCUCCGUAUCUCCGUGACGCUCGUCGGUCCCGGCCAAUCCUUGAUUGCUUCAAUUUUCUUGGGAUCCACUGCUAUACCUGAUCCUGAAAUCAAGUGUCCAAGGAAGACUACCUCUCGAAGCCAAAAUUCACAUUUCUUCAACUUGGUAUAAAGCUCCUUUUCCCGAAGUACUUGGAGUACAAUCCUCAAAUGCUCCUCGUGAUCCACAUCACUCCGUGAGUAGACCAAAAUGUCGUCGAUGAACACCACGACGAACCUGUCUAGAUAAGGCUUAAAAACACGGUUCAUCAGAUCCAUAAAAGCUGCCGGGGCAUUAGUGAGCCCGAACGGCAUAACUGUGAACUCGUAAUGUCCAUACCGUGUUCUGAAAGCCGUCUUUGAUACGUCCUCGGGCUUGAUCUUCAACUGGUGGUAUCCCGACUGCAAGUCGAUCUUGGAAUACACACAUGAUCCCUGAAGCUGAUCAAACAAGUCGUCGAUCCUUGGCAACGGAUACUUGUUCUUGAUCGUGACUUUAUUAAGUUCACGAUAAUCCACGCAAAGGCGAAGUGAUCCGUCUUUCUUCUUGACGAACAAAACUGGUGCUCCCCAAGGUGAAACGCUCGGUCGAAUGAAGCCUUUGUCUAACUGUAGCACACUGGAUCUUUGCAAAUUGCGAGGUUCGAGUGUUCGAUUGGUAUUCCGAACUUUUCCACACUUGGUGGAGGGCCGUUGAUGGUAUACCGGCCUAAAAGUUCGAUCUCGAGAGUUUUGGCAGAGUCCUGAGAGUUUUUACUCUCGGGGUCCGGUCCCUGAUAGGAGAGACCGGUCCCCCAGUGAACAGUACCGCGCAGCAGGCGAGGCAACCGGUCCUUGGCAGUUGAGACCGGUCCCCGAGCCCGUCUGCGCGGGGAGAGACCGGUCCCGCGCAGGGAGAGACCGGUUCCCGAACGCUGGUUUUUCGGGUUCGCAGCGAGAGACCGGUCCCUGCUGGGGAGAGACCGGUCCCUCUGGGCGAAAACUGCCCAGUCCGGGCUGAUGUAAAUUUGAGUUUUUGAGGGGCCUAUGUGGAUUUUGUUACUUUAGAGGCUAUAGGCAGCCUCUCCUCCCCUCUCACUCUCAUUUUCUCUCCCUCACACUCUUCCUACACUUCUAGAGAGAGAAAGGGAAGGAGAAGAAGGAGAAGAAGAGGAGAAGGAGCUUGCAUAGAGGCCUUGGGGCAUCAUCUUCUUCCUCAUUUUCCACCUUUGGAGGCUUGGAGCAUGCGGUUGGAGCCUUGUGGAGGAUCAAACUCCAACCCUACUUGGUUUUGAGCUUGGAUUGGGGCUUCUCUUGAGGUUGGUAGCUUAUAAUCCCCAUUUGAUACUUGUUUUCCUAGGUUUUUCUAGAUGAAACCCUAGAUUUUGGGAUUUAGGGUUUAUUUUGGGGGUUUUUGGAUUUGAGGGUUAUGAGACCUAAUUGAUGGGUUUGGAACCUUUAUAUAGGUUAGAUUGGAAGACCUCUACCUUCCAUUUGAGGAUUUAGAGAGGGUUUUCCACUUGAGGUGAGUUUCUCCCAACCCUAGCUUGAGUUGGGUAAUGUUUGAGCUAUUCGCUCUCCGUUUCGUUCGGGUGACCCUAUUUUUGAUGUUUCUAGGGUACUAGGGAGCUCGUGGAUAUCUUCGUUCGGCGAAACGAAGAAGUCGAUCUUUUUCGGUGGGUUUGACUUCAUGAAAAUGGGGCAAAAUGGCCCCUAUGCCUUCUAAACUUUUUGUAAAGUAUUUUCGAAUGCAAAUUCAUGCUAAACAUGAUUUAUAUGAAUUUUAGAACACCUAAUUUGCACGCUUCAUGUAUCGUAAAAAUUGUACUCCAUAUAGUAGAGCUAUAUGCGUAGAUUGCAUGCAUUGUGGAUAGUGCUUGGUUUUGCAAGUUGAGAACAUGACUCCAUGCUUGAAUUGAGUGAACUAUGCAUCAUGANUGGCCCCUAUGCCUUCUAACCCUUUUGUAAAGUAAUUGUGAAUGUAAAUUCAUGCUAAACAUGAUUUAUAUGAAUUUUAGAACACUUAACAUGCAUGCCUCAUGUAUCGUAAAAUUUGUACUCCAUAUAGUAGAGCUAUAUGUGUAGAUUGCAUGCAUUGUGGAUAGGGCUUGGUUUGCAAGUUGAGAACAUGUCUCCAUGCUAGAAUUGAGUGAACUAUGCAUCAUGAACAUAUUAAUACCAUGCCUUGGACUCGUUGAACAAAGUGUCAUAAAGAGGCACUUAGAAAUAGUAAACUAUGCAAAUGCAACUUAGAGACAUGAUGAUCGGCCAUUGUACAUCUGCUAUAUAUUUCAUGUUAUUAGACAUGAGGACUUGGUACUUGCGACAGAUCGUUUGACUACCUGCCAUUGUGCUCAUUCGCACAUGCUUGUGAGGGUCGCUCCCUACAAGCCGGCACUCCGGAGAUGGCCAUCGCGAUACAUAUUCGCCGUGCGGGAUUGGGCGCCGAAGUGGAUUGCCGUGGGCCAGGCUCAUUCCAAGGGUGGGGAUGAUGACUACCACGGGGCCAUUAGGCUCGGCACCGGCCAGACAGCCUACGGGUGGGUCUCAGGGCCUUAGACAGCCUUCGGGUGGGUCUCUUCAGAUUUGACUUCGAGUAUUCAUGACGACUUAGAGUAUUACUUGGACAUUGACUAGAAUAGUAAAUAUCGGCAUUGUACUAUUUCGCAUUGUGAACAUUAUGUUAGUUGGAGACUAUUACUUCAUGCAUAGUUGCUUUCGUACUCAUGCUAUUUAUGCUAAGUGGAGACUUUAUGCUAUAGUAAGUUAUAUUUUACUUACCGUCUAAUUAUUACAUUGUUAGACGCUGACCUCUUCUUGUAGCUUUUGGGCCUUGUGGCGCAGUUCACUGAAGUCAGUAAUUGCCCACUGGGAACUAUUUUUAAUAGUUCUCACGCCCCUGUUUCUAUGUUCCCUUUUCAGAGCCUUCGGCACCGGCGGAGGCACGGGGUCGCGGCAAGGGUGUCGCGUAGCUAGCCGGGAGAGUUUCUUUUGCGCUAGGUGGUCGCUUCUUCUCCAUUUUAUAUUUUGAGAGAGCGUGAGGCUUUUGGUUUCCAUGUAUAGAGAGACCACCUGUGUACCUACUUUUAGCACUUGUUAUGGGAUCCCUACGGUACUUACUUUAUGUUUUAUUUAGUGGAUUUACAGUUUUAACUUUAUCCCUUGUUGUAGCAAUUAGACAUUUACUAUGCUCUGAUACUCCUAGAUGUAUUGUAUUAUUGCUUUUAUUAUUGUUGCUUUUAGACGCCUUAUAUGUUGUAGACAUAUGGCGGGUCUGGGCACGCGCCGGGCGGGCUUCCGCUGGGUCCCGGGGCGUGACAGAUUAAUUUGGUAUCAGAUCCUAGGGUUGAGUCUUAGGGGACCUAGUAAACCUUAGGCCGGUUGAACUAUAGGAAAUAGGCUCGUGAGAGACGAGGUCUAUUCGACUUGUGAGCGAAAGUAUAAUGAUUGGGUAUUAUGAUAACUCUAAAAGGUUAGAGUUGAUUGGAGUGUUUGGCUUCUAACUUCGCGGAGGGUUACGUUGGCGGCCGACAACGUAACAUCGGGAGUUAGACGUGGAUAACACUUCCUUACUUUCGCAUGAUUUGGUUAUUGUCUUUUGAGUGGGGAUGCGAUAGCGUGAGUAUUUCUAACUUGCGCUUUUAUGUUUUGUAGUGACGAUGCCGAUUACUCGCUCCCAAUCUGCCGGGGCGGACAAUGCGGCAAACUUUGAGGAGGUCGAGACCUCCGCUACCUCCGGAUCCAGCGAGGUCCGUGAGUUGAGGGGCCAGCUUGCGGCCCUCACCGACUUGGUCACUCAGCAGGCAGAGGCGGCCCGACAGCAGACUGAGGCGGCGCGCCGACAGGAGGCGCGGAUGAAGCGUCUGGAGGACCUACUGUUGCAGCAGACGGCAGCUUCUAGGGAGACUCAGGGCCCUACGCCGCCGGCACCAGUUGUG